AUGAUUUAACUCGUACUUUAUAAAUUUAGUAAAAAUUCGAAAUGUUACAUUUGUGCCGAAGCCCAUAAGCUCCAAUAAUGCGAGCAACAAGACAUGAAGUGUUUCAAGUGUGGCCAACCGGGCCACCUGGCGGCUGGCUAUUUUAGGAGCACAUCAUCAGUCCCGUAUUCUACUUCUAUUCAAUCCACUCAAGACAGUCUGUAAGGGUUCCACCUACCAUCACCUCGAGCGCACUCCCUUCUAUGCCACUACAGCUUGAGGGGACUCGAUAAGCACCUACUGGCCGAGUGAUUGCCAUACAGGGGGAUGAUCAAUCCGUAACCUAUGACGUCAUGGCAGGUAUUAUUUUGCUAAACGAUAAAAGGUGUAGAGUAUUGCUCGAUAUAAGUGCAUCGCAUUCAUUCAUAAGUAGGACAUUUGCACUUACUAGUGAGAUUUGCAAGGUAAAGACCACACACAUUAAGUGGGUUCAAGUUCUGGAGCAUACAUUUUAUGUUAUCGAUUACUAUAUAUCCUGAUUGUUCGGUGUGGAUAAGCGAUUGGAUUAUACCAGUGGACUUUAGAAAUGCAAAUGGAUGGGGGUUGGUGGAGCUCUCGUCUCGAUCCGCUCCAAACAGGGCGAUAAGUGGGAACAAAACCUAUAGAAAAAUAUAACUUGCUCCAAAUCCGCCUCGAUCUUCCAAGUAAAUGGAGCGGGACGCGAGAGACCUCUCCUUCGAUCGGCCCCAAUUCGCAAAAAAUCCGCAAAAAAUUGCUUCCGUCUCGAUCUGCCCCGAAUAGAAUGGUAAAUGGGGACCAAAAAUAGAAUUAAAAUUUACCUGCCCCGAAUUCGCUUUGGUCCGACAAAAAAUAAAACGGGAGGUGGGUGAACCCCUCCCACCCCCGGAUCCGCCCCGUUUGUAAUCCCUAGAGUUCUUGGUGUUGAGAUGGAUGGGAAUUCUAUUUUCACCAAUUUUUUCACUUAGGUCUCUUGGGUAGACAUGACGCACUCCAUUAAUUUUAAUAAUUUUUUUAACGGUUGGGAUCAAGUUAUAACGAAUGAAGAGAUUAGGGACUCAGAUGGGUUGUAAAAAAAAAAAGUUUUCAGAUCAAAGUUCAAAAAGAUGCAAAGAUUGUAACCCCAAGUCAGACUAACCCAACAUUUUGCUCUACUUGGUUAUCAGUUAUCAGCUUUAAAAAGAAAAGCGAUACACCAAAAUAGAAGUGGUACGUAAUGUUUUCUCAAGAAGCUACGUAUCACUUGCCAACACAGAUUUGUUUCUUUAUUUGGAGGAAAGCUCAUAAAUAUAUUUUUAUUCUUUUUAGAGAGAGAGAGAGAGAGAGAUCUGAUCUAUGAAAGAGAUAUGAAAAAUAUAUAACUAAUGCAUUGAUGGAAAUAUAUAUAUAUAUAUAUAUAUAUAUAUAUAUAUAUAUAUAUAUAUAUAUAUAUAUAUAUAUGUAUAUAUAAAGUCCAGCUACUAUACUCUUAUGAAUAUAGUCUUUUUUGUACUCAUAAGUUUUUUGCCGUUAGAUCUACUUCUUUGAUCAUUUCCACCCGUUAGAUCAUAUUAUUCAACAAACCACCCACUCAAUCCUAGCGGACCACUAUUAAUUAUCUAACCGGGAACCACUAUCAUCCUAACCGCACAUCUCUUCAUCCAAUGGUCGAAAACUUAUGAGUAUAAAGGGGGCUAUAUUCAUAAGAGUAUAGUAACCCUAGCCUCUCUCUCUAUAUAUAUAUAUAUAAUUGAGCUAGAAUACUUUUAGAAGCACCAAUCUCUUCGUGCUUCUAAGUUUCUAGCCCUUAAAUCUACUCCUUGAUUACUAAUAGUCUUUGGAUCAAACAUUAUUAAUUCCACCUACCACUACAUACCACCACCUACCACCAUCAUCUCAAACCUAUACCUCUCCAUCUAAUGGCUAAAAACUCAAAAGCACCACCUUCAUAGUGGCUUUGGGAGUAUUCUAGCUAGACUGGUAUACUAUCGGUAGCACGGAGGCCUCUGUGCUACCAAGUUAUUUUCAAUAAUGCGGCUUCCAAAUCGACGAUCAGCUUCGUUAAACUUGUUCUAUACUAUUGAAAGUAUUUAAAAACUAAAUUUCAUAAUUUUUCGACAUCAUUUACCUAUCAAACGAGUAGUCUAAAAAUAAACGGCUGAAAAUAAAAAUCUCAUAAGAAAUGAUGAUAAAUAACUUGAAUUUAAGAUCAUAGGUACUGAUCUUACUCUAAAUAGUGAAAAGAAUUUUCUAUAAAAAUUUUAUCAAAUUUGGAUUGUUUUACGCGGUUAAAUUCACAAACGUAUCAUAUCUACCAUUAAAAUUGUCAGUUUUGAGACCUUUUGAUCACUAGUCAAAUGAUGUCAAAAAAUUAUGAAAUUUAGUUUCCAAAUACUUUUAAGUGUAGAUCAAGUCUAACGGAGUCGAUUGUCGAUUUAGAAGCCGUAUCAUUGAAAACAACUUGGUAGCCGAUAGUAUACCAGCUUAGCUUUCUCUCUCUCUAAAUUGAGAGAGAGAGAGAGAGAGAGAGAGAGAGAGUAGAGCUACUAUACUAUCGGAAGUAUAGACGAUCUGGUGCUUCCAACUUUUUGGCCUUUAGAUUAGCCUCUUUAAUCAUUUCUAAUUUUUGGAUUAAUACUAUUACUUUGUGGGAACCUCUCAACUCUAAGGAUACUAUUCAACUCUGGGGAUAUAUUCAACUUUAAGGGGAACCGCAAUUAUCCCAACUAUAUAAAUUUUCAUUCAAGGGUUAAAAAAUCGAAAAUAUCAAAUUCUCUAUACUUCCGAUAGUAUAGUAGCUUACACUAUAUAUAAAGAGAAGGUUAUGAAAUAAGUAAAAUAUAAAGUUUAUACCUUAUUAAUAAAUGUUAAAAUGUAUAAGAUAAUAUUGCUUGUUAAUUUAAAAAUGUGGUGGUGGGCAUUAUCAAUGUUAAUUAGUGUCUUUAAAAUAUGUUCUUGUCACAGCAACUCUAGUCAAAGGUAUUGGACAAAGUGUGCAUAUCUAAUUGUCAUCUCAAUGACAUCAAUUGAAUAAAUUAGCACCUAAGGCCUUCUUUAGAUUAUGCCAAACAAAGUUAUCUUUGUCAUAAUUAAUUUAUUUGGUAUGAAUUUUUUUUUAAUGUAAUUGAAAGUCGAAAAUUUAAAUUUUGCUCUUUGUAAGGGCUGAAUAUUUAUGAUUUAAUAAAAUAGCAUAUUUUGAAAAUAAGAUGAUUUAUUUUAUUCUAAAAAAAUAAUUUAAAGGCCGAAUAUACUUAUUCUUUUUGAGAUGUUUGAUUACACACAUAGCUUUCAAUUAUAAUAAAAAAAAUCUCAUACCAAAUAAAAUAUUAUUGAAUAAUUUUUGUUCCAAAUAGGGUCGAACAUUAAUAUAAUUAAUUAAUUUCUUGUUAAUUUUACAGCUAAUCCACACUAAUCUAGUAAUAACUUCAUUAUAUUGGUUAUUAAUUAGAUGGUAGCUUUUUACAAACAAUAAACCAUGGGUUACUGAUAGCAUUAAUCUGUAAGUUUAAGCUAUUAUUAUACAAUACACCUAGAAUUAUGAUCUUUAGUACGACGCAUUUAAUGCUCCCUCCUCCUGAAACAGAGACUUUUUGGUAGACAUAAACAAUAGACAUGAUUCAAAUAAAAAAAUAAAUAAAUAAAAUAAGAAUUCCUAAUGGAAUUGGAAUUCGUAAUCCCUUGCUCUGAUUCUGUGUAAAACAAGCUUUAAAUCUCUCUCUCUCUCUCUCUCUCUCACUCAGUAGAGCUACUAUACUCUUAUGAGUAUAGAGCCUUCGUACUCAUAAAUUAUUUUCGACGAUGGUGCUUCUGAAUUGACGAACCACUCUGUUAAAUAUGAUCUAGAGUAUUUAAAAUUUUUAUUAAAAAAUAAAUUUCGUAAUUUUCGAAAUCAUAAUAAAAUCUAUCAAGCGGGCAUAAAAUGAAUGGUCAAAAUCGAACAACGUCCUAAAAAUGAAUGAUCGGAUCUUUCAAUUUAAGAUCGGAGAUAUUGAUUUUUAUUUAGAUAGUGAAUAGAAUUUUUUAUUAAAAAUUUAACUUAUUCCGAUUCUUUACACUGCUAAACUAGCAAAUAUCUCAUAUCGGCCGUUAAAAAUUGUCAAUUUUGUGAGCUUUUGAUCGUAAAGUAUAUGAUGUCGAAAAAUUAUGAAAUUUGAUUUCUAACAGUUUUAAAUGCUCUAGAUAAUGUUUAACGGUAUGAAUUGUCGAUUCGAAAGCUCUAUUAUCGAAAACGACUUAUGAAUAUGAGAGCGAUUGUAUUCACAAGAGUAUAGUAGCCAGACUCUCUCUCUCUCUCUCUGUCUCUCUCUCUCUAUAUAUAUAUAUAUAUAUAGAGAGAGAGAGAGAGAGAGAGAGAGAGAGAGAGAGAGAGAACUAGGCUCGUAUAAUAUCGAUAGCACGAAACCCUCUGUGCUAUUAAGUUGUUUCAAAUGACGCGGCUUCUAAAUCAACGAUAGGCUUUGGCAAACUUGAUCUAAACUAUUGGAAGUAUUUGAAACUAAAUUUAAUUAUUUUUUGACAUUAUUUGGCUAGUGAUCAAAAGAUAUCAAAAUUAAAAAUUUUAAUGGUUGAUAUAAUGCUUUUGUGAAUUUAAUGAUAUAAAACAAUUUAAAUUUAAUGAAAUUUUUAUAAAAAAAGUCUUUCCAUUAUUUAGAGAAAUAUCAGUACUUCUGAUCAUAAAUUCAAAUAUUUUAUUAUUAUUUUUUAUAAGAUUUUUAUUUUCAGCCAUCAUUUUUAGAUUAUUCGUUUGAUAAGUAAAUAAUAAUCGAACAAUUAUGAAAUUUAAGUAAAUAAUGUAGUGUAGAUUAAGUCUAACAGGACCGAUCAUUGAUUUAAAAAUUGUAUCAUUGAAAACAACUUGCUAGUACAAAGGCUUUCAUGCCAUCAAUAGUAUAUACUAGCUUUUAUAUAUAUAUAUAUAUAUAUAUUUAUUCUGGCUACUAUAUUCUUAUAAGUAUGAUCGCCCUAGUACUCAUAAUUAAGUUGUUUUCUAUGAUAGAGCUUCUGAAUCGACGAUGCAUAACGUUAAACAUUAUUUAGAGCACUUAAAAUUUUUAUAAAUAAAAUUUCAUAAUUUUUUUGACAUUAUUUACCUUAUAAUUAAAAAAUCUCAAAAUUGACAAUUUUUAACGGCUGGUAUAGGAUACUUGCUAAUUUAACGGUAUAAAAGAAUCAGCAUCGAUUGAACUUUUGAUAAAAAAUUCUAUUAAUUACCUAGAUAAAGAUCAAUAACGCCGAUCUUAAAUUAAAGGGUCCGAUCAUUCAUUUUUAGGAUGCCGUUCGAUUUUAAUCAUUUAUUUUAUGCUCGCUUGAUAAACUUUAUUAUAAUUUCAAAAAUUACAAAAUUUAUUUUUUAUAAAUUUUAAAUGCUCUAGAUCAUAUUUAAUGAAAUGGAUCGUCGAUUCAGAAGUUUUAUAAUUGAGAACAACUUACGAGCACGAAAGACUCUGUGCUCAUAAGAGUAUGAUAGCUCUACUCUCUCUCUCUCUCUCUAUUUAUUAUAUAGAAUUAUGCUUUGUGCAAUAAUUUAUGUAAGAACAUACAUUAAGGGCAUGUUUGUUUGGGUGGAAGUUGGGUGGAAGUGGAGAGGAGGGAAGUUGUUUUCGCUCUAAACGGCCACUUCCGUUGUUUGGUUCGCCGUAAAAAAGUUACGGUCGAAACUCGAGUUAACCUCAAACGGCGUAAUUGAAUUCGCCCCAUCGUGGGCUGAAGUCAAUUACGGUGAAGAGAGGUAAAGAAAAAAUAAUAAAAUAAUAUAAUAGAUAAAGAUAGUUAUAUUUAAAUAUACUUAAUUAUGUUAUUAAUUAUAUUUUUAUUUAGUUAAUAUAUUUAAAAUAUGAUAAAAAUUGAUUAGUUAAGUUUUAAUAUUUUCUUUAUUUAGUUUGUACAUUUAAAAUAUGAUAAAAGUUGAUUAAUUAAGUAUUAAUAUUUUUUUUUCUUUAUAAUUUUAUUAUUGUAUUACUAUAAUUUAUGUAUAAAAAAAUUAUUUAGUUGUUUUAAAUUAAAUUUUAAUUAUAUAAAAAUAUACUUAUAUUAUUUUUAUUGAUUAAAAUAUUUAUUAUUUAUAUAUAAAUUAUACUUUUACAUUAUACACUUCCUACCAAAUAAACAGUAGAACUAAUGGAACUUCACUUCCAUAGCUACGAAACAAACAGCGGGGAAGAAGUAGUUUUCACCGAACUCUACUUCAAUCCAAAAUCUAUUUCAACCCAAAGUUCAGUUUCGAUGAAACAAACAUGCCCUAAUUCUAGAAUAUCCAAAUUCGUAUCCGAUUUAUUCGGAUAUUCGGCCAUUUUUUUUUAACUCUUUGAGGUCAUCCGCAUGCGUAUAUCUAACCGGAUCCGAAAUUUUCUAUUCGAAUGUGAACGAGAAUCAAAUACGAACACGGAUAUGGUCGGGUAUUAUCCAAUCCGUUUUCAUCCGAAAAGCAUGGGGACGGAUCUUAAUUUACUUUCCUCGACCUAACAAUUAAUUGUGUGUUCGAUCACAUCAGUAUUAACACGACCAGUAUUAUUCUGAGUUUGGUGCCGAGUUCCCUUCCACUUCCCCAUCGGAAUGUGAUAUGUCUCUUUGUUAAUUCAUGAAGCAUCUUAUUCUAUUCCCUUUUAUUAUGAUGUUACUAUUCUCCAACCAUAUUCAUUUACGACUUGUACAAGGAAUAUAAGAUUUAAGCUCUGCGCCUUCCGCCAUUUAUGUAUAUGUCUCAAAUAAUAUGCCACUGAAUAAAAAAAUUAUUGUAAUGCAUCUGUCAAAAAUCAAUACUCAUUCUUUCUCUUUUGUGUGUGGGUGUGUGUUUUAUUCUUUUCCACAUCAAUCAAUGUCACUCAAAAUAUGUGAACUUGUACAAACACUACUUCAAUUAGGCAUUUGACCGUGCAUCCCUAAAAGUGGUUGCUUUAGAUGAUACCAUGACAGAAGAUCUUGAAUGUAAACUUUACCUGACUUUAGGUUCUAUUCAUGUCGUUUCAUUUAAUAUUUUAAGUUCAUGUCUUGAAUUCAUUAAAAAAUUUUAAGUCUAGACAUACUGAAAAAUAUGUAUUCUGGCAACUUAUACUUUUAGAGUAACUAGUUGCUUCACAUGAUAUCAGAGUCUAAGGUUUUGAGUUCAAAUUUUAAAGUGACAAAGUAAAAUAUAUACUCCAAUUUACAAACUCACGCGAUGAUAAAAUGCACUAUUUUACUAAUUAGCUAGGCUAAAAUCGAAAUAGUUUGUAAAACUGGAGUAAAAUAUACACUCCCGUUUACAAAUUCACGCGAUGAUAAAAUGCACUAUUUUACUAGCUAGGCUAAACUUUGUAAUUAACUAUCGAAUAGUUUGUAAUAUAUACAUAUUUUACUUUAUUUUAUUAUUUAGUUUGUUUGUGUAUGCUGUCUCUUUGCUGUGUCUCCAUCCUCUUUUCUUAUCACAACCACUGAUGAUCGAGUCGAUUUUGCCGAGUGAAGAGGACAUCAUAAAAAGUAUCCAAAAGUAUGAGAAUCCCAUCGUACCUAAUUCAAUCCAUUAUCUAAGGGCCCAAGGUGCAUCAUCUAUAUCUAUAUAAGCCGCGAAAUACAUUGUCACCCAACAAUUAAUGCACGCGAGUUAUUAUUAUAUUAAUAGUGAAGUUACCCGCGCAUUGCGGCGGGAUGAUGCUGUAAGAGAUAGAAAAUUAACAAAGUAAAAUAUUUUAAACUUUUUUCACUUAUCAUUAGAAAUCAAUCAAUAUAAAUAAAAGAUAUGAAACAAAUAUAACAAAAUUUAUAAUAAAAAAAAUAGUAAUAGAACACUACUCCAUAUACACCUUAAUUGCGCUGUCGAUAUCGGGAAGGCGAAUCCUGAUUCCCACUUCUCAUUCGCCACAAUUGUUACCGUCGAGCUCCUCUUUAAUCACAGCAAUACAUAUCUUAUGUUAUUUGUUUCUUUUAUAGAAUUAGUUUGCUUAGAUGACAAUAAAUAUGAACAUAUUAAUUAAGAAAUGAAUACGUGGGAAGACGAAACAUCAUGUGGAGAUAAAAGAUAAUAAAUUCGAUCAUUAGGAAUAAAGAAGAAGGCAAGGAGGGAGGAAGAAGGCAAGGAUGAAGGAGGCUUUGCUGUGUGGCAAAGUUUAUGAGGAAUAAUGCUAAAGUAGAACAAUUCUAAAGUAGAACAAUUCUAAAUUUUUUGUUAACAUAUUAAAUACAUUUAAUUUAUAAUUAUUUUACCUACAUUCAAAUUUUUUUAAAUAAAUGAUACAAAAUUAAUGUCUAAACUAUAGGAAUUUAAAAGUUUCUUAAACAUAUUAAAUAUGUUGAAUUAAAAUAUUUACCAACAUAACAAAAUUUUUAAAUAGUAAUACAAAAUUCCUCUAACUUAAGUUUAAAAUUUUAAAUUUAAAUAUUAAUAUUUCUAUUUAAAUUCAACGUAUUUAGAAAUAGAACUAUUUCUAAAAUUUUUAUAAUUUAAAUUAAUGCCUAAAGUUGAGAAACACUAAAAUUUCUAAAAUAAAUGCCUAAAUUAAUGCCUAAAUUUGAGUAAUCAAUUAAUUCUCCCAAUUAGUACAAAUUAAUGUGUAAAUUUAGGAUAUCAAUUAAAACUUUCUUUAAAUAUUGCAUAGUCACUACAACAAUAACGGUCUAAAGUGAUACUUUUAAAUGUCGGUACAGGUCAAAAAAGUGCUGCUGGCUAAAUUACCGACACUUUUAAAAAGUGUUGCUAUAUGUGGGGUCGCUAGGUAUAUAGUGACAGAUAAAGAGUGUCGCUAUAACCUAAAAGAGUGCUGCUAAUUUACCAACACUUAUUUAAGCAUUUAGCAACCGCCGGAAUUCUAUCUCGUUGGCUGCGGUGGCGGAGGAGGACGAGAGGAAGGGAUUUUCGUCUAGGAUUUUAGUCGAUUGAGUGAUGGGAGAAGGGGAAAUGAUAAUCGAAUUUUCUUUUCUUUUUCUUUUCUGUUUGUAAUCGGAUCGAAUGGGUUGGAUGGGAUGGGUUGAAUAGUGUAACCUUUUAUUUUUAGUUGGAUUGGACUUUAUAUUUAGACAUUAAUAGUUUUUUUAAAAGUUUUGGCAUAAAUUGGACACUUAUAUAAAAGUGUCCCAAACAUGUGUCCAUAUAACCUAAUUCUAUUGUAGUGAGUUUAAUUACAAAAAUAGCCUAGAAUGAAGUAACCUUUUACAUGCUAAAUAUUAAAAUUACAUCUUUACCCUCUUUUUUUAUUUUUUAUAAACUAAAGUACCGAAUCAUUUCUCAAUAUUUAUUUCUUCAAUUUAUAUUAUUUCAUUACCAAACACACUUUUUUAGACAAGGCUUAAUUACACUCUAGUACAUUAUACUUUAUAUAGGUUUUCUUCACUUUCUGCACUGCACAAUUUUUUUUUUUUUACACCCCAAAGACACCAUUGUCUAUCGGAUCGUGGAUUUUAAUUUUAAGAUAUUAGUUCUCAAAAAUUAGAUACUGUUAUAAAAGCGUAUGACAUGCAUAUAUGCAUGUUUACAUAAUUAGUAUAUCUUUCAUUAUUUUUAAGAUUAAAAAGAAAAAGGCGUGAAUCAAAUAAGUUAAUUAAUUUAUAUUAGAUUUGAUCAAAUAUUCACGUAGAGCUAAUUAAUGAAAGAUAUACUAAUAUGUGAAGUAUUAAUUCAUAAAUUUUCCAAGAAGAGAGAGAGAGAGAGAGAGAGAGAGAGAGAGAGGGGCCAAUUUUUGUUCUGAUUUGGCUUCUCUUUUGCUUUUGCUAUUACUCGUACUAUUUAUAGUAGAGCAUUUGACAAUAAAUUAAAAAAGCGUGCUACUUUUGUUGUAGUGAGAAAUAGAAAUAUAAGUUUGAGACAAAAAAAAAGACCUUCUAUAACCAAUGAGUGCUUUUGUAUGGAUUCAAAAUGUAGAAACUAUUAUUCGUCUCCAAACAUAUAAGUUGUUCACGAAAUAAUCUAUCGAAACUCUUAACCAGAUGUCAGAAGCAAUGUUAAAAUUAAGAGGUUGUUUGGUUGGAUAAAGUUGCAAGUUCUCUAUAAUUAUAAUUGUAUGUAAAAAUAAAUGCAAUGUUUCUAGUAGUUGGAACUACACUCAAAUUGAAUGUAGUUUCUCCUGUAAUAGUUAUAGAUUUAGAGUAACUUUAAAUAAAAAAAAAAAGCUUAUCUCGCCAGUUAGUUUUAAAUAGAAAAUAUUUUCUUCUUCUACAUUGGAAGAAAUUUCAUCACCAUGUAUAUAAAAUAACAAAAUUUAUAAAUACAGUUCUCAAUUGCAUGCAAUUAAUCAAAUAAAUUAUUUAUAGUCAUAAUGCUUUUAUAUAUACAGAAAUAACUACUGUAUUUUUAACUAUAUAUAUAUAUAUAUAUGCAUCUCAAACUACACUAUAUUUACAACUACCUCAAACUAAUUAAACGACCUCUAAAAUAUAAAAGCAUGGUGAACGAUUAUUUAGGACAAAACCCCAAGAUGUGUUUGUAAAUUAAAGGAGGAGUGGAGUGUUUUCUACUAUCAGGAUCUAGCUAGCACUCCAUCUCUAACGUUACUCGUACAUCUAAAAAUUAAAUGUAAAUCUUACAAUUAGACAAUUUCUUAGAUUUUCGGUAAAAUAAAAAUUAAGAAUAUGAUAAGAUUAGUAUGAAAAAAAUGAAUUCACAGAAGGAGUCCGGCUACUAUCCUAUUAAUAGGAUUGGAGCUAUUGUCCUAUCAAAUCAUUUUGAAUGAUCGAAACUGCAAAUUGAUAAUCGGCACCGUUGAAAUUGAUCUACACAAUUAGAAAUGUUUAGAAACCAAAUUUUGUAAUAUUUAAAAAUCAUUAUCAAGCUCAUCUUCAGAGUUAAAAAAUGAAUGAUCAUAAAUAAAUAAUCAUUUUAAAAUAGAGGUUAGACUUUCUCAAUUCAUAAUCAGAGUUAUCAAAUAUUAUCUAAAUAGUAUAAAAAAUUUUCUAUCAAAAAUUCAAGCAAUUUGGAUUGCUCUACACCGUUAAACAAGCAAACGGCUCAUAUAGACUGUCAAAAAUUAUCGAUUUUACGAUAUUUUGAUCACCAUGUAAAUAAUUUUUAAAAUUUAUGAAAUUUAGUUUCUAGAUAUUUUAAAUACUCUAGAUCAACUUCAACGGCUCUGAUCAUCAAUUCAAAAUCUCGAUCAUCAAGAACAAUUUGAUAGGACAAGUGCUUCUAUCCUAUUAAUAGGAUAGUAGCUCUAGCCUCCACAGAAGAAUAGGAUAAAAAAUUUGGACUGUAGCACGUCCAAAAGGGCGCCCCACCUUACAUGCAUGGUGGGAACACCCUCCCCAUCUAACAGCCCUCGCCGAUUUGACAUCGCGGCAAAAUUCUUUUUCUAAAAUUUAUAUUCAUAAAAAGUCUAGAAUGUACAGUAUAUAAUACUAAUGUGACGUCUCUAAUAAAUUAGAUUAAUUUCUUUUUUGGCUCACUCAUCGAUUUUAUCAUAAUUAUUAGAAAAAAUAUUUUUAUUAUAUAUUUUUCUUUCAACAAAAAUAUGGUUCACAGAUUAUUGAUAUUGUAGUGUAAGUACUAUAUAACAACAUUCUGUUUCGAUGUCACAGAUAUUGACACGGGACAUGAGAUGCGAUACGAUUCGAACACGGCGACUUAACAGUUUAAAAAAAAUUAGAAAACGUACACGGCAUAAACACCGCUAAUUAUUAUUAAUAUAAUAAUAAUAUAUAUAUAUAUUAUAUAAAAUAUUAUUAUAUUUUUCAUUCGAAUGAAAGUUAGUGAAUUUUUUAUUGAUAAUUUAUAUAUUUUAAGAAGAAAAAUAAAUUAUUUAAAUUGUCAAGCUAAAAUAUUUAUCAACUUGUCUUAUAUAUAUAUAUAUAUAUGCAUAAAAAAAAUAAAAUAAAAAUAUGUAUAUAUUUUUUUUAAUUAUUUAUACUAUAUAUCAGUAUUAAACGCGCGUUAAAAAAAUGUCAACAUCAUCAGAUUUCCAUUGAGAGAGAGAGAGAGAGAGAGAGAGAGAGAGAGAGAGAGAGAGAGAGAGAGAGAGAGAGAGAGAGAGAGAGAGAGAGAGAGAGAGAGGGGGGGCGACGGAGUACUGUCAGGCGCCCCGCAGCGAGCGCAGGUCCCAACAUCGCUGCCGGCUGACGACCGCGCGCACGUAUGCCGUUCCACUCGUCCCAACGCCACCCGCCGACACUUUCCUUUUUCUUUUUCUUUUUUAUUUUUUAUUUUUUUAUUUUUUUAUUUUUAUCCUCACUCUCUCUCCUUUCUCUCUCUCCCCACCCACUUUUUCCGUUCUAAAAUGCAAAACGCAUCAUCAGCUUUAACGCUUUCUCUCUCUCUCUCUCUCUCUCUCUCACCUACAAAUCCGUUCCGGGCCCACGCACAAGCACAAUGCGCACACUCAUUAACAUUUAUUAGGGCAAAAUUUACUGAUGGGCCCUGUUCUUCAUCGCUAUGCUUUUUAUUGCAAGGCUUGUACAUGUAAAAAAAAAAUAUUUUUGGGUCUUCCUAAUUGUACAUUCGUACUACCCCUAUUAUCGAAUUUUAAUAUGGGGCAAACUCACACGCCACGUAUGGAAUGUAAAAAUAAAAUCAAUCAGCCUUUUAUAUCCAGGCAUCUUCAAUGUUGAUGGGGACAGGACUCUUAUACUUUUAUUAGUAUAAAUUUUGAAUCCGACUACUAUGCUAUUAAUAGCACGAAACACUUGGUACUAUCAAAUUUUUCGCCGUUAGAUCUACCCUUUUGAUCAUUUUCACCCGUUAGAUCAUACUAUUUAACCAACCACCCACUCGAUUCUAGGGGACCCACAUCAUCCUAACCGCACAUCUCUUAAUCCAAUGGCUAAAAACUUAGUAGCACCAAUGACUUGGUGCUAUUAAUAGCAUAGUAGCCUAGUUCAUAAAUUUUUUAUACUUAUGAAUUUUUAGCCGUUAGAAACAAAAAUUAAUGUGUAGUUAGGAUAACAGUGAUCCGCUAAGAUUGAAUGAAUUGUUGGUUAAAUAGUAUGAUCUAAUAAAUGAAAAUAAUCAAAAGAAUAUAUUUAACGGUCGAAAUUUUAUGAGUACAAAAGGGUUUAUAUUUAUAACAGUAUGGUACGUAGCCGGGCUCAUUUAUUGGAUGAAACUUUAGUUUUACAUAAUGUGAUGUAGCGUAUUUUAUUUUAUAACUUUGUAAUUUAAAACCGGCCGUCCCUAGAGCAAGUGGCGAAGGACAUCGUGGUUGGUACCCGAGACUCAAGUUCGAAUCCUAGUUGAUUCACAUUUCCAGCUAAGUUUGUUUCUAAAUGAAAUAAACGAAGCGGGUAGUGUGCUACCUAUCUCUAAAAAAAAUAAAAAAAAAAAUUNAAUCAUAUUAUUAUCACUUCACCUCUACAUGACUUUUCGUUUUUGUGUCGACCAAUGACAUUAACAAAUCUAUAUUUACUCUGGCCUAUCACACUCCACAAUAUAAUUAUAAUUAAUAUCCACUAAAUCUAAUCACCUUUUAGCUAAUACUCGAGAAAUAUAUAAAUUAAUUAUAUAUAUAUAUAUAUGCAUCUCAAACUACACUAUAUUUACAACUACCUCAAACUAAUUAAACGACCUCUAAAAUAUAAAAGCAUGGUGAACGAUUAUUUAGGACAAAACCCCAAGAUGUGUUUGUAAAUUAAAGGAGGAGUGGAGUGUUUUCUACUAUCAGGAUCUAGCUAGCACUCCAUCUCUAACGUUACUCGUACAUCUAAAAAUUAAAUGUAAAUCUUACAAUUAGACAAUUUCUUAGAUUUUCGGUAAAAAAAAAAUUAAGAAUAUGAUAAGAUUAGUAUGAAAAAAAUGAAUUCACAGAAGGAGUCCGGCUACUAUCCUAUUAAUAGGAUUGGAGCUAUUGUCCUAUCAAAUCAUUUUGAAUGAUCAGAACUGCAAAUUGAUAAUCGGCACCGUUAAAAUUGAUCUACACAAUUAGAAAUAUUUAGAAACCAAAUUUUGUAAUAUUUAAAAAUCAUUAUCAAGCUCAUCUUAAGAGUUAAAAAAUGAAUGAUCAUAAAUGAAUAAUCAUCUUAAAAUAGAGGUUAGACUUUCUCAAUUCAUAAUCAGAGUUAUCAAAUAUUAUCUAAAUAGUAUAAAAAAUUUUCUAUCAAAAAUUCAAGCGAUUUGGAUUGCGCUACACCGUUAAACAAGCAAACGGCUCAUAUAGGCCGUCAAAAAUUGUCGAUUUUACGACACUUUGAUCACCAUGUAAAUAAUUUUUAAAAUUUAUGAAAUUUAGUUUCUAGAUAUUUCAAAUACUCUAGAUCAACUUCAACGGUUCUGAUCAUCAAUUCAAAAUCUCGAUAAUCAAGAAUAAUUUGAUAGGACAAAUGCUUCUAUCCUAUUAAUAGGAUAGUAGCUCUAGCCUUCACAGAAGAAUAGGAUAAAAAAUUUGGACUGUAGCACGUCCAAAAGGGCGCCCCACCUUUCAUGCAUGGUGGGAACACCCUCCCCAUCUAACAGCCCUCGCCGAUUUGACAUCGCGGCAAAAUUCUUUUUCUAAAAUUUAUAUUCAUAAAAAGUCUAGAAUGUACAGUAUAUAAUACUGAUGUGACGUCUCUAAUAAAUUAGAUUAUUUUUUUUCGGUCACUCAUCGAUUUUAUCAUAAUUAUUAGAAAUAUAUUUUUAUUAUAUAUUUUUCUUUCAACAAAAAUAUGGUUGACAGGUUAUUGAUAUUGUAGUAUAAGUACAAUAUAACAACGUUCUGUUUCGAUGUCACAGAUAUUGACAUGAGACAUGAGAUGCGAUACGACUUGAACACGGCGACUUGACAAUUUAAAAAAAAUAAAAAACGUACACGGCAUAAACACUGCUAAUUAUUAUUAAUAUAAUAAUAAUAUAUAUAUUAUAUAUAAAAUAUUAUUAUAUUUCUCAUUCGAAUAAAAAUUUGUAAAUUUUUUAUUGAUAAUUUAUAUAUUUUAAGAAGAAAAAUAAUUUAUUUAAAUUGUCAAGCUAAAAUAUUUAUCAACUUGUUUUAUAUAUGCAUAAAAAAAUAAAAUAAAAAUAUGUAUAUAUAUUUUUUAAUUAUAUCUUAACAGCGAGAUUUCCAUUGAGAAGAGAAGAGAAGAGGAGAGAGAGAGAGCAGAGAGAGAAGAAGAGAAAGAGAGGGGCGCGACGUACUGUCAGGCCCCCUUGCAGAUCACGCGGUCCAUGGACUGCCCACCACCGCUGCGCCGCCCGGCCCCACAUGCCAUUCCCCUCGUCCACGCCGACCAAUCGACACACUUUCCUGUUUUCUUUUUCUUUUUAUUUUUUAUUUUUUUAUUUUUUAUUUUUAUCCUCACUCUCUCUUCUCUUCUCGUCUCUCCCCACCCCACUUUUCCGUUCUAAAUGAAAACGCAUCAUCAGCUUUAACGCUUCUCUCUCUCUUCUCUCUCUCUUCUCUCACCUAACAAAAUUCCUUCCGCCCACCGCACAACACAAUGCGCACACCUCAUACAUAUUAAUUAGGGCAAAAAUUUACUGAUGGCCUGUUCUUCAUCGCUAUGCUUUUAUUGCAAGCUUGUACAAAUUAAAUAAAAGAAAAUUAUUUUUGGGUCUUCGCAAUUGUACAUUCGUAGCUACUCACUAUAUCGAAUUUUAAUAUGGGGCAAAACCACAGCCCAAACGUAUUGGAAUGUAAAAAAAAAUCAAUUCAGCUUUUAUUAUCCAGGCAUCUUCAGUGUUUGAUUGGGGCCAACCUAUAGCUUUAUUAGUAUAGAUUUUUAUAAAUUAUGUAAUUUUAGUCGUAGAAACAUAAAAUAAUGCUGUAGCUUAGAAUAACAGUGAUCCGCUUAAGAUUGAAUGAAUUGUUGUUAAAUAGUAGAUCUAAUAAAAUAAAAAAUAUAUGCAAAGUAAUAUAUUAAUGUCGAAAUUUUAUGAGUACAAAAUGGUUAUAUUUAUUAACAGUAUGGUACGUAGCUGGCUCAUUUAAUUGGAUGAAACUUUAGUUUUUACAUAAUUUAUGUAGCGUACUUUUAUUUUAAUUAUACUUUGGUUAAUUUAAUAACCGCUUCUGUCCUAGCAGCACAGUGCACGAAGGACAUCGUGGUUGGGUACCCGAGACCAAGCGAAUCCUAUGUUGAUCACAUUUCCAGCUAAGUUUAUUUCUAAAUGAAAUAAACAAGCGGGUAGUGUCUACCUAUCCUCUAAAAAAAAAAAAAAAAAAAAAAAAAAAAAAAAAAAAACUUUGUAAAAAAUGUACUUAAUUAUAUGUUAUAACAUAAUUUUAUUUGUGUAGUACUAUUAUACUUUUGGAAGCAUAAAAAUAUUAGUGUUUUCAACUUUGGCCCCGUGGUUAAGAAUUAUAGGGUUGAAAUGAUAGUGAUCCUUCUAAGAAUUAGUCGUCUCCUAAAAGAAGAAUAAUAUUAAUCCAAGGACGGUCGGAAAAUUGAUCCAAAGAUUGAAAAUUUUGAAGCACCAUAGUCGGACUGAUUUUACUUUACUAAUUUGUAGUUCAAAAAAUUACAUUUAAUUAAUCACCAUGUGAUUUUACUUUUAUUUUACUGUAAAAAAUUUACUAUUAAACACGAUACUACCCUCUAGUUUACCCUCUAGCUAGUUUUUAAAAUAUUUUACUGUACUGCUAUAUUGAAUGAUAGAUAUUUUUUUUGUUGAAAUAAAAAUAAAAUUAUAUAUAUUAUUAAGUAUAGCUUUUGAAUUAUUAUGUGACAAAAUAAAAAUGUUUUAUAUCAUAGAAGGACUAAUUAAAGUUUAUCCUUAUUUUUAUUGUAUUACUCGUCCCAUAUCAUAAUAAGAGAAAUAAUUUUUGUUAUAAAAUAAUAUUUAACUAUAAUUGGAGCAAAAUUAAGAUAGAUAAAUGUCUUAUAAAAAGAAGGGGAAGGAGUCAUAUAUUUCAUGAGAAAAUAAAGUUCUUUUAUUGAUCAUAAAGCAAAAUAUUUGUAUACAAGUGUGAAAAUCAAGUUACAAUACUGGAAUAAUACAGGGGCUUUUUACCCAACAAAAAUAUAACAACCCCACCAAAUAAAAAAAGAAAAGCAGAAAAAUAUAAGAAACAAAAGUGUGCACAACUUUAUUAAUUGUUUGUUCUCAUUACACCCAAUUCCCCCCCCCUCUCUCUCUCUCUCUCUCUCUCUCUCUCUCCUCCCCUUAUUAUACCUCUCUCUCUCUCUCUCUCUCUCUCUCUCUCUCUCUCCCACUCUGUGUCCUCUUCUCCUCUUUUUGAUGUUGUGAGGAAUGAAUCCUAGUUGAGCUGAGACUUCCCUGGUUAGUUUAGCUUAAUAAAGUAGAUGCAAAUUAAUUGCUUGUUGUUUGUUAGUCUUUUUUGGAGCUUGAUUUGAUUUUUUUUUUCUUUUUUCUUUCUUUUUUCUUUACUGUAAUUAGAGCUUGAUUCUUGUUUGGCAUUUUAGCUUAUUAUUAUUAUUAUUAUUAUUAUUAUUAUUAUUAUUUGGUUUACAUUUUGUGUUUACUGAUUCAGUGUAUGAAUUGUGUUCUUCUCGCAUGGAAAUUGGUAAUGGGUCGAAAAUCUGAUUGAGGAAACAUGUAUUUUUUUUUUUUUUUUUUUGAGAGAAAAAUAGCAUGUUCAGUUUAUUGUUUUUAUAAAUAAACUUAGCUGGAAAUACGAAGCAAUUAGGCUUCGAACUUUGCCGCUUGUGACGGUCGGUAGGAAACAUGCAUGUUGCAGGAAACAUAUUGCGGCCCAUGAAGAUGUCUUGGGUAUUUUAUUAGGAUUUUUUUUUUUUUCUUUUUAAUGUACUUGUUCUUGAUUGUCUAAGACCCAGAUGAACCAAGAGGUCUAAUUAUUUGGGUUUGGAUAAGAAGCUUAAUUUUUAGUUUGUUGUUUAGCACUGGUCAGUAGAUUAGAGCUUCUGUUAAUCUGCAAUUUCUUUUAUUUUAUUAUUUUUAUUUUUUUGGUAAGUGCUCAAGACUUGUUUUUGUUUUAAAAAGAUAAAAAAAAAGAAGAGAGCAGAAUCAUUACAUUGACUUGAUGUGAACACUAGUUUUUCUCUAUCUUUCUUAAAUGUUUUGUGAAAAAUGUACAGGGAGAAGAAGAGAUUCUUGCAUGUUUUCAUCCUACAUUAUGAACUUAAAUCCAAUUUGGUUUGUCCUGGAAAAGAGGGAUUUAUGAACAGCAAUGCAAAUUGAAUCUGCUACUGCACAAUUUGCAGCCUUAGACUGACCAGAGAUACACUGUUAUAAACCCUGUUUAGAAUGAAAUUCCUGCUGUUUAGGAGCUGUUGCUGUAUCCUUUUGUUCAUUUGUUUUCAUGAUUAGAGUAGAUUAAAAAUAAAAAAACAAAAACUUCCACUGACAACAUAAAUAAUCUCUGAGCCUCAUCAUGUUUCCUGAGUCUUUGAUGUGGCGUACUCGAGUUGUAAAUUGAUCUUCUAUUUUUUUUUUUUUUUUUUAUCCUUUUGCCAAUUUUUUCUCUGAGCUGGCAAGAGAUAAACCCCUAGGUCAUAACCUUGAUUGAUUAUAUUUAGUGAAACUUCCUCUUAGCUUGAUAAAUGAAAAAUGCUAUAGACAAUGGGGUGAGAAUUUCGAUGAAUUACUCGGUUGGAGUAUCUCGGGUUUAAUUCCCAAUUGUGAGGAAUAUUGGGUGGGAGUGAAUAUUAACAAUGAAAGGUCUUUUUAUUUUUUAUUUUUUUUUUCUCUUCUUGAGUAAAAGAAAUGAAACAGUAUUAUACUUUGCAUGCUAGAUUAAAGCUUCGUUUUCUUUUUGUUUGUCGUGAAGUUCUUCGCAUCCUUCUUUGAACAGUUAAUAUUUGACCUUCCAUGACCUGUCACAUUGUAUUUUUCUGUUUGAAGGUAAUUAUUGUGGCAGCUUCAUUCCAACUCUGAAGAUAAUCUGUCAGAGACAAAAUACAUAGCUUAAAGUUCCUCUAUCGUUGUGCUUUCUAUCAAGUUGGUGAAUUAUUUACCACUUUGAACAUUGCUUUCACAAAAAAAAAAAGAAAAAAAAGAAAGAAAAAAGAAAAGAUUGUUUACAGCUCGAACAGAGAAAGUUAGAAGAGCAGCAUGGAACAAAAGACAUGGCUUUGGAGGAGGAAAUCAUCAGAAAAGAAUGUCCUCGAAAAAUCUGAUCUCUUAGCAAAGGAGCAGGAGGUAAACUUACCAAACCAGUUUCUUCAGUUUGUGAAUUCGUUGUGCUGUUAUCGAAAUCUGUUUUCUGAUGAAUGUUAGAUGCGAUAUGCUUGUCUUAUAAACAACUGAGAAACAAUCACCAUUCAAUACGACAGUUGAUGAGGGAUACUUUGAUACAUACUGUUGGGAAUCUGGUACUCGCUAUGAUACUAGGUUUUGUGAAUCCGCAAUCCGUUCAGAUACCGACUGCUGUUGAACCCACUACUCGUUCCUGUACCGUUUGUUGGGAUUCCGCAACAGAAGCGUCAAAUCAAAUUUCUAUCAUAAACCCGUCUCUUUAGCAAAAGCUGACACAACUACAAAAGAAAGAAAAAAAAUAGAAAAUACGGGUUAAAUAAGAUUCACUAACAAAAAAAAAAUUACGCCUGACUCCUCUUAUACAUAGAGUAGAUUCAACCUGAGCUCUCUUUCUGAAUCUCUCUCACCCCUCUUUCGUCUUCUAUAACACGAGAAGGCUUCUCUCAUUGAAAUUGGAGCUAUUCCCAAAACACUCAACUUCAACUAUUCCUAUGCUACACACAGUUGCCCCAUUAGCACAUAGCUCUUUCUUGUAUGGACCACAAGUUGCUUGAACUCUCGGCUGUACAACCUCACUGGGAGCAACAUGAACUUGGGCUGUACAAUACGCAGCUUCAAUUCCUUGAUGCAUUAUAUGUAAUGCACUGUUCACUAUAUCCCAAACCUAGUAUAACUAGGAAUUCUAUUCUAAUUAAUAUUCAAAUCUUAAUCAAUUUAUCUCUAAUAGAUUUAAAUAUUUAUUCCAAUUUAAUUAGGAUUCUACUACAAAUCUAACCAAAUCUUAAUACAUAGUCUCCUACCCAAAACUCAACAUGCUUCCUUCGAUUAUCUGCACAGUUUUUCUAGCAGCUUUGAGUGGUUUCUGCAAACAAUCUGCAAUCAAUUGGAUCAAUUUGCAGUUUUUUUGCAGCAAUUCAGGCUCAUUUUAUUGGCAUGUAGCAUGCAUUUCCUAGAUUUGCAUGACAAAUUAGCAAUCCUUACAGGAGGUGAAAGUACAACACAGCUGAGAUCAUGUGUAUUUUUUUGACUCUGAUUACAUGAACAUAUUUAUCAAUAAGGAUCAUAAAAAAGAUGAAAAAACUGGUUCCUUGUUACCUUCGUGAACCAUGCAUUGAUUCUAUGUAAGAUAAGACCAUUACAUGUUCCUUCUUGUUAACGUGCUCUCUUCUUAUUUGACUUGGUAGUUUCAAGAUUGACCUUGGUGUUCUAUGGCCAUUAGUCAUUUCUUUAUGUCUGUGCAUUUUAUAAGAUUAAUUGAUGGCAUGGCAAUGAUCACAAUAUGCCCUUUUUUUUUUUUUUGAAUGCCACAAUGUGGAAACUUGUGCCCAUCAAUAUUAAUUUUACUAUAACUAACAACCUUAACUUGCAAGAGCUAUAUUGUAAAUGAGUAAUAAGAUUGAUUAUUUUUCAGCAUAAUUAGUUUCUGUUAAAAAUAAAUUUAUUUUUUAUAUCAGUAAUCUUUUCUUCCUUUUUUUUUUUUUGGUAAUUUCUCUGCAGAAAGAGAGGGCUUUAAAAUUAGAGAGAUCCGUACAAGACUUAAAUGAGCAGUUGUCGUCAGCUCGCACUGAGUCCGAUGCAAAAGAUGAUCUUUUAGCCAAGCAAGCAAAAGUGGCCGAGGAAGCCAUCACAGGUUUUCUAUUCUGUUAUCCUUUGAUCCAAUAUUUAACUUUUUGACAUCUUUUUGCUGUCUUUUUAUUAUCUAGUCAAAUAUGGUCCUAGAAAUUAACCUCACUUGGUCAAUUUUGCCACUAGGUUGGGAAAGGGCCGAAACAGAAGCAUUAUCUUUCAAGCAAAUACUUGAUGAUGCUUUACAGCAAAAGGAAGUUAUGGAAGAAAAAAUAGACAAGCUAGAUGUAGCUCUAAAAGAUUGCCAUCAACAGUUGAAUGUCUCUAAGGAAGAGAAGGAGCACAUAAUAAAUGAAGCUGCAAAGAAAAUAUCCAAAGAACAAGAAAAACUACGAACUCUCGAACAGAAGCUCGCCGAGACAAACAAGAAGAUUGCUAGUUUAGGUGAUGAAAAUAGUAAUCUCUGUACGAUUGUUGAGAUGAAAGAAAGGUUAAUCGAAGAACUAAACGAAUCAAAAGCACUCGUUGAAGCAAAUUUAGCUGAAGUAUCAAAAAGACUUGAUUUAACGGAAAAAGGCAAUGCCUCUCUUAAGUAUGAGGUUUGCAUGCUUCAGAAGGAGCUGGAGAUUCGGACCGAGGAAAGGGGAUAUAACAUUAAAUCAGCCGAUGCUGCUCACAAACAGCAGCUAGAAAGCGUAAAAAAGAUUGCAAAGCUAGAAGCAGAGUGCCAAAGAUUGCGCGUGAUGGUCCGGAAGCGACUACCAGGCCCUGCCGCUUUAGCUAAAAUGAGAAGUGAGGUUGAACUUCUUGGUCAUGACAAUUAUAUGGAACUGAGGAGUAAAAGUGCAAAUUCCCCAAAAUCUUUUGCAUCACGUGGGUUUGUAUCAGAAAACGGUUAUGAAGCAGCUUCUCUUCUUGAGAGGUUGAGGGCAAGCGAAGAUGAAAACAAAAUUCUCAGAGAAUCAUUGACUAAGAAGACCAGUGAAAUCGAGCAUACAUCGUCCAGACUUUCGCAGAUUGAGAGACAGCUGAAGGACUUAUCGAAGGGACAUGAUUGCUAUGAUCACAUAAAAAGUAGUCCUAGAAUGUACGAACACCCUCUUGCAUCAAUUUCCGAGGGUGGUGGUCAUGGAGAUAAUGUAAGUUGCGCUGAAUCAUGGGCUUCUGCUUUGAUUUCCGAGCUGGAGCACUUCAGGAAUGGAAAGCCAACGACACCAUCUUCUAGGAGUAUUGGCAUGUCCGACUUAAGUUUGAUGGAUGAUUUUGUGGAGAUGGAAAAGUUAGCAGUGACAUAUGUUGAUAAUAGAACUUUAUUAUCUGCGCAACUUCCUUCAAGGGACAGUAGAUCAUGUGUUACCACUACUGCAAGAUCUGAUUUCACGGAAGAAGCAGGUAAAGAGCUCAUCCCCGUUGAGAAUCUCUCUGGAUACAUAACACUUGAGAAUUAUCCUAGUUGGCUUCAGGAUAUUUUAAGAGUGAUUAUUCAGAAGCAUCAUAUUACACAGAAAAGUAUAGAUGCCAUUUUCGAAGAUGUCCGAAGUGCACUGCAAAAGCAGGAUCUUUUUAUUAGAGGAAACUCCUCAAAUGCCUUAAAUGCUAAUGGCAAUACUCCUAGGAAACCCCAAUCUGCUUCUUUGGAUUCAUUUGAAGGAAUAGUUGAUACCAGUGCCUCACAUACCGAAACAGCUAACCAGCUUUCCAAAUCAAACAUAGAAAAGGUGGUAUCUAAGUUAAUUGAGCAGGUAGAAGGAAUCAUUCGAAGGUGCAAAAAGAACAAUGAUGGCCAACUUACGGUAUCUGGAAGUGAUACAGUAAGUCCAAAAUCUGGAGCUUUAAAUGGAUAUGUCGCUCGUGCAUUUUUGUGGGAAACUUCUGAACUUACAACUGUCUUACGACACUUUAUCCUUGUUUGUAACAAUCUGUUAUAUGGAAAGGCUGAUCCUGAAAGAUUCAUUAGUGAAGUAAGUUCGACCCUAGACUGGAUUAUCAAUCACUGCUUUUCCCUACAAGAUGUGUCUGAUAUGCGAGAAAGUAUCAUAAAGCAUUUUGGGGGGGAUGAGAAUUGCAUUAAUGAGUUCAGAGCUGUGCCGAACAGCCCAAGCUUGGGUAAAAAUAAAUUAGAUGACCAUGAUGAGAUCAAGAUAAAAGGGGAUAAGAUAAUGCCUUUAUUUUAUACGCCAAAUGGCCUUUGUAGUUUGUUCGAAAUGGACAUUAUUGAAUCUAGGGUUAAAGAAAGUGCAACAAACCGUGCGAUUCCUAAUAUAGAAUUACGAAGAAGUUAUUGUGAGGAGAAGAUUGAAAAUGGAAAUUCUGGGAAUGAAGCACCAAUUACUCAAGUCCCGGAGUCAGAACAAAGAACAUCAAAUUUCCGAGCAGAACCUGAAGCAGUGAAGGAAUCAAAGUUAAUUGAUGAAAAUCAUAAAUUAGAGUAUACAGCUGUUAAGGUCGAACUAAACGAGACUCGUAAAAGGUUCUCAUCCCUGAAAGUUGAAGUGGAAAAUGAAAUUUCAACUUCAGAAAGUGAAGCGUAAGUUUUCUUUGUCAAUCUUCCAUGCCCUUACAAUAGAUCUUAGGAAAUUAAUUUUGUACUAUUUGUGAUGCAGUGUUGCUGCUUCUAAAGGGAGUCCCAAACAUAUUAUUGGCCAAGAGGAAAAUCAACUUAGAACUGUGAGUUCCUAUCUCUUUCUUUCGAGUUUCUAUAUUCACAUUAAAGUGCACAACAAAGAAACGAUCAUCAUUUGGACAUUAUAACAUGACACAAAGUAAAAUCCGUUUUACUUCCUCUAAAGAAGAUAGCUAAUGCAUAGUUUACAUCAUUGUUUACUAUAAAGAUAACCAUCAUUGUUUAGAUCAUAGUUUUCAGUAGGUCUCUUUUCAUCUGCAUAAUUUCUAGUUGAAAUAUACAUGCCUUAUAAAUCACUGUAUUUUGACGAUCAUUGUAGAGAGAAACUUGUUUCCUUAUUAUAAAAUGGUUCAAGAAUAAAAGACCAGCCACUAUAACUUGCUUUUUAAGGUUACAAACAUUUACAAACAAAUAUUUGACUCUGUUUUUCUACACUGUUGGUUAAUUGUGUUCCUUGGUUAAGUAUGUUCCUUGUUUCUACAGUUAAAAUUCAAGCUCAAAAUAUAUUUGACUAAUUAAUUUCAUACCAGUAAAACUAACAAACUGGUAUCUCGCCGGUUCAAAAACAAAUCUUAUUAGUUCCUUUAACAACUACUUUUUUUAGGUUUGUUGAAGCAUGUCUCAAAUUAAUGUGUUUGGACAUUGCAAUUCUUGAACUGCGAAGUUUUCUAUCCCUAUUCUGUUCCAGUCAACCUAUUAAGUUAAAGUUAUAUCUUAUGUUAUUGAGAUUAUUCCUAAUCUUAUUGGGUUUUAGUCAUUAAUAUAAAAUAUAUCAUUUAUUCCGACCAUUUGGUGCGGUAGAUAAGAGGGAGUAUUGUGAGAGGCAUCUUUUAUACUCCACUUGAUUAUAAUGAAAGUCUCCUCUCCGUCUUUAUAUACUUUAUUUUUCUUCUUUCUUUCUAGAUUUUUUUUUGGUAUUUUUGAGCCCGAUUGACUUAGAUCCACUUUUGUCGUAAUAAACAGUCCAUUUGUUACAGAAUUUCCAUUAAAAAACUAAUUUUGUGUGAUUUAUUAUUGUCCUUGGUUUUAAUGCUUUUAUUGUAAUUUAUGUAUAUACUCCUAUCUAAUUAUUUUAUAACUUGUGUGAGACAUCUCUCAAAAAAAAAAAAAACUUGUGUGAGACAUUUGAGAGUUUCUUUGGAUUCUGAAAUGAGUUAUCCAGUGAAAGCUUGUGCGGGCCGAGGAUUUUCUUUUAGGAUUUCAAUCUAGGAGUUUAAUCUUAAUUCAUUGCAAGAUAUUGAUAAUCGUUGGUUUUUAGGACAAUGCAUACCAAUCGUAUUUCAAGAGUAAUAAUCUAGAGUCUAUCUGUAUUUGAAUUUCUACAUGAAAUUAGCUAUAUUGUUUCAGAGCCAUCUUGUUGAUUUGGCAUGUCUUUUCAUGUCACGCAAAUUAAGAUUCUUAAAAUUUUGAACGCCUUUUUAAUCUUGCAGAGUUCAGAAAUUGCUUUGGCAUCAGAGAAACUUGCAGAGUGCCAGGAAACAAUCCUAAACCUCGGGAAACAAUUGAAAGCCUUGGCAUCUCCCAAAGAUGCAGCCCUUCUUGAGAAGGUUAUGUUGAGCCCGACUACCGCCAGACCAAAUCGUAGGCUUCAGUUACUCGAUCACAUGCUAGCGGAGGAUGGUGCCAACUUCGAGGAUCCCAACUUCCCUCAAACUAAGGAAAUCAUAUGUACCGAACCACGAAAUCAGCAAGAUUCCACUGCUGAGAAUCCCAAACCAGGAUCGCUAAAUGGCCGAAAUGUCCACACAGAUGACAACCGCAUCAGCAACGGUUCGGUACAAGCUACAACACAUCCAGUAAUAGCUAAUAAGCACACACAUGAGGGUGAUGUGGAAAUGCUUGCGCUCGUUCCGAAGACACAAAGAGGGGGAACAAGUUUGCUUAGAAAGCUUUUAUUGAGGAAAAAGGAGAGCAAGAAUACUAAGAAGCUAACACUGCCCAUCAGCUCUUUCGAGGGCAAAGAGUUAAAAGGUGUUUAAAGAAUGGGAGAAAAGUAAUGCAAAAUUUAGUAUCUAGGUUGGGUGCUUUAUUGUUAUCUUGCAUGGUUAUGGGUGAGAGAAGAUAACAUGGUAGUGUGUCUGAGAGUGGGUUUUUGUGUAAUUUCUCUUCUGAUUGUAAUGUAAAUCUUUCCUUUUGUUUUGUUUCUUGUAAAUUGGGAUCUCUGUUGACUCUGUAGCCAUUCAGUUGAUUACAGUUCUUGAAGUUGUCGAGUUCGGAGAAGCUACAUAUUUAGACCUUGUUUGAUAUUGUUGCUUUGUUGAUGGCGUAAAGUCGACAAAGAGUUAUUCUGACAAGCAUCGGGGCGAUUUGAAGUCCAUGUAGGGGAUCACGUCUUUUGAAAGGUCUCCCUGAAAGAGAAGUAAAGCGAAUUGGGAUGAGAGGGAAGCUAUACCCUCGCUACAUUGGAUCUUUUGCGGUAUUGGAGCGAAUUGGCCCCGUCGCCUAUCGGAUUGUAUUACCCUUUAGCUUGGCCGGAGUCCAUGAUAUAUUUUAUAUUUCUAGAUCUACUCUGCAAAUAUAUGCCCGUUUUAACACAUGUUAUUAGUUAUCCACCACAAAAGUUAUGGGAGGACUUUGAGCUACGACGAGUAUCCGAUUGGCAACCUCACCCUGCCAAAAAAGGUACUGUGGAACAACUCUAUUCCUUAUGUCAAAGUGCUGUGGAGCAAGAGCAGCAGGAGGCUACUCGGGAGCUCGGAGUUCGAUAGGACGCUACUCGGGAGCUCGGAGUUCGAUAGGACAUACCUCUAUUACCUAAACCCUUCUUUCGAGACCUCUUUCUAGCGACCAAAUUUUUUUCUGAAGCUCCAUCUAUCUCAUUACUUAUUUGCACAUCAAUCCUUUCUUCUGAAAAUAGAGAGGAUCUGACUUUAUCGAGACAUAGAGUAUCUCAUUGAAAUAAAAAGAUCUAACGAAAAUUCUUAUAAGAGGACUGCGGUAAAGAAUAUAAUGUUGGAAAAUCGUGCUCAUGCCGUGCGUGCGUGUGUUUAAACGAGAGCAUAACUCUCAUUUUCUCCUAAAAAACUAACUUAAGAAUAAAGGAAUAUAUAUAUAGUAACGACACCAUUUUAGUUUUUAAUGUGGGAUUAAACCUCAUAUAUGAAAACUUAAGUUAGGCUCCCAAGCAAAGCCCAUUAAUUAUUAUUGGGAUGCCCAAGAAGCCUAACAAGUUUUAAAUCGCAAAAAUCUAAUAAAAUCCAAUAUUUAAUAAUAAAAGAGCUUCAUCAUUCUCUUAGAUUUUGAUAUUUAUCGAACAGAGAUUCAUAGUAAUAGAACUAAAUUAAUCUCAAUGCGACUUAAUAGAGGUACAUUUGACAUGCACAAUAUGAAGGGACGUUGCUUCAAAUACAACUUGUUGGUGAGAGACUUUAUCAUGUGGAGACUCCAACUUAAGCCAUAGCCCUGCAGCGAUCUUUUCAUCUAGGAUCUCGUGCAAUACCUCAUCGGAUAAAUACAAUUGUAUUGCCAUACGAGCUUUCUCAUCAAUCUACUCCUUCUGCUCUGACGUCAAUGAAUCGAACAUCUUUGCUUUACUCAACGGUGCCUUCUACAAUCCUUGCUGUGUUAGUAUAACACGCAUCUUGACUUACCAUAAUACAAAACUGUUGGUUUUAUUAAAUUUCUAGAUCUCGAACUUCUUCAUCAUCUUAAUUCUUAAGAAAAUAGAAAGACUAUAAUACUAAUUUGUUAAAUGCAAAACGAUGAAAAAUAGAUCAAAAAAAUAACUAAUGUAGGAAAUAAAAAAAAAAAAUGCUGAAAUUUAUAUGAUUCUGUCGUCAACCUUCAUGCAGGCAAUGAUGGAGCAAAAACUUUUAUUAACAUCCAAGCCAGAGUGUAAAGAUGAUCUCUCACCAAAAUAGCAGACGUGGUACUUUAUCAUGAACAACCCAUUAAUGUACACGUCCAGACAAAAAUAUUCCCAGAAGCAAUGAAGCAUGUUGCUCUGCUCACCCAAAACAACGUACGACACCCCCUCCUUGGUUGCCUUAAUUAAUUAGAGCAUGGCCUCUUAAUUAAAGCUGCGGCUUCAUUAAGGUGGACAUAGUAUGCAUUUAUAACACAUAGCUCCAAACUAGAGUCUAAUUAUAAUUCUGGUUGAAUUAGACUAAUAGUCCAAAUUAAAUCUAAAUUAUAUUUUAUCUUAAAUAGAUUAGAAUUUAACUUCAAUUCAGAUAACUACAAAUUUAAACUAAAAUGUAACAAGUUUUCAGAAAACAAGUUUUGGAGAAUACGUAAGGGGUUGGGUAUAUGACCUAACAUGUAGAAUUUCUGUUCUCUUUUUAUGCCAUAUCGUUGUAGUAGCUUUUUUUUUAUGAGAAUGUUAAAUACUAUAUUGUCGACCGACAUAUGAAUUUAGUGGAUAUGAUAGUGGUAUUAAACAUAGAAAAAAAAAAAAAUCUAUAGUGAUAAACAUAGCAAUGUAUAGACAAAUUAUGAGGACAUAUUGCAGAGAACAUAUAAACAUAUGAAUGAGCUCAUAGGCUAAUCCUAGCUAGCGUCAAUUGGAAUCUAAUGUAUAAAGUAUAAACUAAAAAAUAAGUAUUGGCAUUACUUAUUAAGGAUUGUGACCUUAUAAGCCAAGACCAUUCGGAAGAAUCAAUAUGAAAUAGUAAGAUGACGCUCAGCUCUCUUCGUCUUUAUUUGAAGUAGUAUGAUCACCUUCAAUCCCAAAUGCUUACCGAUUGUAGAACGUACGUAUGAUCACCUUUGACUCUUCAUAAGAUGUUUAAAAUAGAAUUGUUACCGAACUAAUAAGUUGGUUAGAGUUAAUGAAAUGGCUUGAGCAAAUCUUUGUGUGGACAUCGACAUUGUUAUAUCUUGCUUAGUAUUUUGGUAUCUUACUAUAUAGGUAUAGUAGUUGUACUAGAGGCGUACUAAAUAUGCAUUUCUUUACGUAUCUUAUUGUAGUAGUAGUUAAAUUAUUUGCUAUUGUCUACUCUUUUAAACCAAGUGAAUAUAGAAUGCCAUAUUCGGUGAUUGCACUUACUGAAAACUUAUUUUAAAUUCUCAUUCUCUCAUUGUUGUUGCUUUUAUAGAACCAUCUAUCACCAUUGUUGACAUAAAUAUUAGAACUUUGUAUCUAAAAGUUAUCCUAAAAUGUAUUCCCAUCUUGGAUUGAUUGAAAACACCACCCUAAGAUACAAUUAGACUUCCUCUUCUUAUAAGCAUUAUCGUGGCGGAAGUUGAUAAUUUUCUUUCAACACCUAGCAAGAAAACGAAAUAAAGCUAGAAGGAUGAAAUAUAAGAGAAACAAUUAUACCGACUGUCUCUAGCACAAGUGACAAAGAGCUUGAUGGUUGGUAUCCGAGAUUUCAAAUUCGAAUCCUAGUUGAUUCACAUUUCUUGCUAAGUUUAUUUUAAAUAAAAUAAACGAAGCAGAUAGUAUGUUAACUAUCUCUCUCUCUCAAAAAAAAAAGAGAAACAAUUCUUGUAUGUAUUGUGGCGAAUAUUAGAUCACGUACACUUCUAUAUAUCUAUGGAUUACAAACGAUAUGGCCCUUUUAUAGAAAGAAUUCUACACUGUCACAGUUACACCAUGCCAUCAAUAACAUGCCAAUCAUAUUUCUUCUUUUCAAACAAAAAUAAAAUAAAAAUAUUUUUUUAUAAUCAUGAUGGGACAUAUAUCUCUAAAAGAAAAUAUUUGAUUGGUUUGUUACGCCACGCCACCAAUAUACCUGGUGCAUUCUAGAAUUUUUCCUUUUAUAGAACGGAACCAAAAGUUGGUACACCUGAACAUUUAUUUGCACAUGGCGCAUGUUUGCCUUAAGAGACAUAAUGGGAAGACACACGAAUAAAUAAAUAAAUAAAUAAAUAACAAAAUAAAUAAGAUAUCUGAUAAUAAUAAAAUAAAAUAUUGUAAGGUAUAAGCGUUGGAAAAAUUCUUUCUAAUCUUUCAGUAAAAUUUUCUUUUAAAUACUUUGAAAAUGAAAAGAAUAUAGUUUCAGUUUUAAAAAAUCGCAAACAAAAAUCAAGCAGCAGAUACUAUAGAGAAGAAAAAAUUAGGUGAGGCCUAUGAGUCGAGGUGUGCUAAUUAAGUACUGUCCUAGAAGCGAGAUUUCCUCUCCAUAUGGAAGGCUCCGACAAUCACUCCUACCGAUACAACGACUACUGUCCACCCUAUCAGAUGGUGCAACAUGAACCUAAUAAGUUUUCAGAGAUUUAGCAAAGUAUCAAAAACUCAGUGUAAAGAGAAUUAAAGUUUUGUGUGAAGAAGAGAGGAAGAAGAAGUCUUAAACCCCGGUGCACCUCUCCUCUCUUCUAUAUGCAGAUAGAAAACAACGGUAGGGUCCAACGGCUCUUUCUUGGAUAAGCCGUUUGCCCUUACCGAGGUGCUGAAUACAGUACCGAAAUAAGAUAAGAUUUAGGCAAAGAGACCUUACCCAAGGUGAUGAAUACAGUACCGAGAUAGGAAAGAUUUAGGCAAAGAGACCUUACCCAAGGUGCUGAAUACCAAGAUAGGAUAAGAUUUAGGCAAAGAGACCUUACCAAGGUAAGAUAAUGAUUAAUUAGGCUUUAAAUACAAGAUCUCAAAAAAUAAAAUAAAAGAAAAAGGAUAAAUUCAAUGUUCUCCUAAAAAACUAACUUGAGAACGAAUGAGUAUAUAAGAUGGAGGCACAAGCAUUUUAGUUUUAAAUGUGGGACUAAUUCAUACAUACAGAAACUAAAGUACAGGCUCCCAAAUAAAGCCCAUAAAAGGUUGGGCUGUCUGGAAAGCCCAUGGGCAGAAUUAAAGUUUUUAAUCACCUAAAUUAUAUUAAUACUAACCCUAAACCCGCACUCGCAGCCUAAUCCAGCCUAGCCCAGCCCAUGUGGUAUAAGGUUUUCCUCCAACCGUCCAAAAGCCCCUCUAAUGGAUAUAUAGGUGUUGCUCUAAUAUAUAGGCAUCGAGUUUUACUUUCGCUUCUAACGUGGGACUCAACUAUAUGAGAGAAAAAGGACAUCCCUAAAAAUUUUGAACCUAAGUUAAAAAUUUGGAGGAGAACAAAAUUAUAUAUAAGUCGACAAAUAAGUUUGGAGGGAGAGGGAAAGCAAAAUUUUGAGUUCUCCUUCUCUCUGUAUAUUUCUAAGAAAACAACAGCAUUUUGAAUAACACAUUCCGAAACUAAAUAAUUUGAAAACCUAUUUCUCAUGCAUCUACAGUAACUCAUCCUAAGUUCAUAGGGAGUUGAUUAUGCUAUUACUUGAUGAUUAUGUUUCGAAAUCGUAUCAUUAGUAAGUCAAAGUAAAGUAACUGCAAUAAGUAAAAACAAUUUGAAAAACUCUUUCGCAUACAUCAACACUCGCUCAUCCUAAGGUCGUAUAUAUGGGGUUAAUUCUACUAUUGCUUGGUGCUUAUGUUUUGAAAACUAAAUAACCGCAUUUGACAAACACAUUCCGAAAGUAGGAAUCAAAAGCUUAUAAGUAAAAAUAAUUUGAAUAUCCGUUUCUCUUGCAUCAACAUUAGCUCAUCCUAAAGUCACACAAAGUUGCUUUUACUAUUACUUGAUGCUCAUGUUUUGAAACCUCCUCAUUAAUUAACAGUCUUUUCACUACUAAUCUUAUCAUUGGCAACAUCCAUACCUUUCAUAAGUUGUCAAUCACAUCACUAAUUAAUAUCUUGCUUUCAAACCUGUUCACUUCUUCACUUUCCACCACAUUUUAGCUAGUACGCUAGAAUUAAGCAUAAUUAAUUGCAUUACUUUGUGAGAUGUUCAUUUUGAUUUAUAACCUACCACCUGUAAUUGAUAAUUCUUUUCUUUUCUUUUCUUUUUUCUUUGAGAGCAAAUAUUUUGCAACGAGGUGCGUAUUCUUGCGCAAUACUGACGUGUUAGCAAUCGAAUAUUUCUCCUAAACUAAAAGUUUCAUUUCUGCCUAUAAUUUCGUUGUAAUUUGAUACCGCUUCACUAUUGCAGAUGUUUUACACAAGCUCCUAAUUUGGAAGAAUAAUUAAAUUUCCAUCAUNAGUGCAGUGUACCGGUACACCUUAAUGGCUGUACCGGUACAGCAAGCAGAAAAAAACUGCAGUUUGCAGAUUUUCUUCGCUGAAAGUUGCCCUCGCGUCGCACGGAGCCCGUUUUGCGUCUAUUUGACGCCAACGCGACUCGGACUUGUCCCGACACUCUCCAGAGCUGUCGACAAGCCUCCACAGUCAAACACCAGGGUCUCACACUGUGGCGGAACCGGUUCGUUUGCGACAGACAAUUAUGUUUGGAAAUCUUAUCAUUAGUAAGUUAAAGUAACUGCAUUUAAAAAACACAUUCUAAAAAUAGAAUCAGAAGCCUACAAGUAAAAACAAUUUGAAAAACUCUUUCUCAUACAUCAACACUAGCUCAUCCUAAGGUCGUAUAUAUGGGGUUAAUUCUACUAUUACUUGAUGCAUAUGUUUUGAAAACUAAAUAACCCCAUUUGACAAACACAUUCCGAAAGUAGGAAUCAAAAGCUUAUAAGUAAAAAUAAUUUGAAUACCUGUUUCUCUUGCAUCAACAUUAGCUCAUCCUGAGGUCACACAAAGUUGCUUUUACUAUUUACUUAAUGCUCAUGUUUUGAAACCUUGUCAUUAAUUAACAAUCUUGUCAUUACUAAUCUUAUCAUUAGCAACAUCCAUACCUUUCAUAAGUUGUCAAUCACAUCACUAAUUAAUAUCUUGCUUUCAAACCUGUUCACUUCUUCACUUUCUACCACAUUUUAGCUAGCACGCUAGAAUUAAGCAUAAGUAAUUGCAUUACUUUGUGAGAUGUUCAUUUUGAUUUAUAACCUACCACCUGUAAUUGAUAAUUUUUUUAUUUUUUUUUUCUUUGAGAGCAAAUAUUUUGCAACGAGGUGCGUAUUCUUGCGCAAUACUGACGUGUUAGCAAUCGAAUAUUUCUCCUAAACUAAAAGUUUCAUUUCUACCUAUAAUUUCGCUGUAAUUUGAUACUGCUUCACUAUUGCAGAUGUUUUACACAAGCUCCUAAUUUGGAAGAAUGAUUAAAUUUCUAUCAUAUUUAGAAUUAGUAGUGUACAAGAAAUAUCUGAAUUAAAUUGCUAAAAAAGGACAAAAAAAAUAUAUAAAGCUUACCUCAACUAGUACCCAUUUCGAUUUAACUAUCUAACCUUUUGAAACAUUAAUCGUGCGGCCUAACAUUUUAAUUUAUUAGAUGUACGCCAUUUAUUAAUCACCCUUUAACUUCAAAUUUUGAAUGAGUUGUUUCUCUAUAUAUACAAGCUUAAUUAGCAUAUAUUUUACCAAACUUAAUUUUGUGUCUAUAAAUUAAUAAAAUAAGCAAUUAGCUUAAAUUUUAUAUUGUAUGAGCCAUCAAAUGACUUGAAUCAAAUAAAUUGAAAGAUUGGAUACUCGAAUCAAAUUGGUUUAUAUAUAGUUUAAAUAAGUUUUAUAUACUUUUACCCAAAAUUUUUCUCUUUUCUUCCACAUUUACCUACAUUAGAGCAUGGGAUUAGAAGGGAUUGGAUUCAAUUUAAUCUGUUCCAUUGUUGGCAAUAACUGAUCUAGAAAAUUUUUCNGCGUGAGCUAUGUGAAGGCAAGAACACACUGUUGAUGUUUUAACAGCAGCAAAAUUAAAUUAGUGAUUCAAAUAUAUGUUACCCUAGUUGUAUCAACUAUUUUAAGCUUGACAAAGUUCGGUUAUAUUAUCAGGAAAAGCAAUUGAGAGUGAACAUGGGGAUAUCUAAACUGCGUGAAAAGGUGAAGGAACAUCAGGAGAAGGUGAGUAAAAAAAUUUCUUUCUAUCGGCCUAACCAUUUAAUGGCAAGACAUUGGUCUCUGAUGUUUGAUCCGUUUUUCCAAAUUGUGUCCUCAGAGUAUCAGUUGCAAUAAUUUAGUCUUUGAAGUUUUGACCCAGAUUUCAUUUUUGUUCUGAGAGUUUCAAUUUUGGCCGUGAAAUUUACCUUGGUUCUAGUUUCCGUGAGAGAUGUAAUCUUGGCAAAAGAAAGUUUGAUAUUACACUGUUAAUACAGAACAAAUUUGAGAAGCUAAAUUAUCAUAAUUGAACUGUGUGAACGAAAUUGAAAUGUGUAUCAAAACUUAGUAUCGAUUUUUGGAUUAACUCUCAAAUAAUUCUCAAUACUGUGCUUUCGAUGAGAUGUGCUGGUGGCAUAAUGUGACAUAAUGUGCAGUUUCAUAUGGCGGCCAAGACUGCUGGGAUGAAUCCCGUUGAGUGGAUGGAGAACGCUGAUAGAUUGGUUGCAGGUUUUCUUGAGAAAUUCGAGGAAGGAUGCCACAUAAUGGUAAGUCAACAAGACAACGUUCUCUGCUUCACUUAGGUGCCUACUUGGUCACAGCUUUUUGAUCAGCUUCUUUACUUAACAAGCAUAUGCUAAAACUUAGUUUAAGUUAUUAUUAUUAUUAUUAUUAUUAUUUUAUUUUAUUUUAUUUUAUUUUUUUUUACGUCUCGACUGAGAUCUGUUGCCUCACCCAUGUAGCCUAGUUCAUACUUUCAAUGAAUGAAGCGGGUAGCGUGCUACCUUUUUCUCAAAAAAAAAAAAAAAAAUCAUCUUGGCGAAUAUCGACACAAAAAUUUUCAACUUGGUAUGCAAGUGGCAAAAGAUUUCUAUUCAUAAACUCAUUAGGAUAAAAUUGAGCCAAUCUAACUAGUUUUUCCUUAUUAUUGGAAGAGAUCGAGUAUAGCAGAUUCAAGCCCAGUUAUUAUUAUUAGCGUGCAAUGCCUCAUAUUAUCCGGUCAAAAUAAUUUUUUCAUCCGAUAAUUUUUCCACUGUUUAGACCCUGACAUCCUCAUCAAGUCCAAACCCAAAUUACAGAUAUAUAGACCAAAGUUACUACCUUGGCGAGAACGUCAGGUCCACACCUAGAUCAUAAACAUAUAGAACAGAAUUACUAGGACCACCUACAGAUUAAAUAGGUGGUUCCCAUCAAAACUAUUGGUGUAGUAAUUUGCCUCGUAUAACACUUAACUCUCAUACUUCCGCGAGGCUAAUAUUCGUCUUUGAUACCAAAUAUAACGACUCGACCUGUUAGUAAUAAUAUCAAACUUUUUUGAUCGCCAAACUAUUAAACUGAGCAAACCAAUUUCAAAUUCUUUUGACCGCCAAGUUAUUAAACUGAGCAAAUCAUAUCAAACUUUUUUGACCUUCAAGUCGUUAAACUGAGCAAAUCAUAUCAAACUUCUUUGACAGCCAAAUCGUUAAACUAAUCAAAUCAAAUUAAACUCUUUCGACCGUCAAGUCGUUAAACUGCGCAAAUUAAAAUAAAAUUCAAUCUCAACUUGAUUCUGAUCGACCACCAAAUCUGUAAAUUGAGUAUUUCAGUUUUAUAAAAAUCUAUGUACAGUGGUGAUAUGCCCAGCUUAAGCUAUGUACACGAUAAAUCAUAUUAAUUAAAUUUCAUCUGCCUGCUUUGGUCUCUUUUAUUAUCGGCAUUUAUAUUCGGUCUUUUAAUCGAACGUUUCUUAACACUGAACUGUGGAAUAAUUAACAGCAAAUUCUUGAGUCUGUUGGAAGCCAUGAACCUAUAAUUCUGAUUUAAAAAUAAAAUUUAAAUAGAUUUAAUCUCUACCAUGAAUAACCACUCGUCGGAGAAAAGCCUGUGUGUCACGCCCCGGAUUACACGUUCCCCGGGCACGCCGACAAAUCCGCCGUAUACAAAGAAAUUUUUCCUGUAUACGAAGCGAUAGCUGUACCUGUAAAUCAAACACUACUACAAACAGUAGUAGAGAGCUGCUAGAGAAAACUGAAGCUAAAUAAAACAGAGUUUCAUAUAUAUAGAUCGGAUCCAAAAUACAGAGCUACUCGCACUGGCGAGUUAAGUCAACUAUGUACANUUUUUUUUCCCCGCUCUCUCGAGGCCCAGGUUGCCUCACCCAUAUAGCUUAGUUCAUACUUUCAAUGAAUGAAGCGGGUAGCGUGCUACCUUUUUCUCAAAAAAAAAAAAAAAAAAUUUUCAUCUUGGCGAAUAUCGACACAAAAGUUUUCAAGUUGGAAUGCAAGUGGCAAAAGAUUUCUAUUCAUAAACUCAUUAGGAUAAAAUUGAGCCAAUCUAACUAGUUUUUCCUUAUUAUUGGAAGAGAUCGCGUCUAGCAGAUUCAAGCCCAGUUAUUAUUAUUAGCGUGCAAUGCCUCAUAUUAUCCGGUCAGAAUAAUUUUUUCAUCCAAAAAUUUUUCCGCUGUUUAGAUCCUGACAUCCUCAUUAAGUCCAAACCCAAAUCACAGAUAUACAGACCAAAGUUACUACCUUGGUGAGAACGUCAGGUCCGCACCCAGAUCAUAAACAUACAGAACAGAAUUACUAGGCCCGCCUACAGAUUAAAUAGGUGGUUCCCAUCAAAUCUAUUGGUAUAGUACUUUGCCUCGUAUAACACUUAGCUCUCAUACUUCCGCGAGGCUAAUAUUCAUCUUUGAUACCAAAUAUAACGACUCGACCUGUUAGUUAUAAUAUCAAACUUUUUUGACUGCCAAACCAUUAAACUGAGCAAACCAAUUUCAAAUUCUUUUGACCGCCAAGUCAUUAAACUGAGCAAAUCAUAUCAAACUUUUUUGACCGUCAAGUCGUUAAACUGAGCAAAUCAUAUCAAACUUCUUUGACAGCCAAGUUGUUAAACUAAUCAAAUCAAAUUAAACUCUUUUGACCAUCAAGUCGUUAAACUGCGCAAAUUAAAAUUAAAUUCAAUCUCAACCUGAUUCUGAUCGACCACCAAAUCUGUAAAUUGAGUAUUUCAGUUUUAUAAAAAUCUAUGUACAGUGGUGAUAUGCCCAGCUUAAGCAAUGUACACGAUAAAUCAUAUUAAUAAAAUUUCAUCUGCCUGCUUUGGUCUCUUUUAUUAUCAGCAUUUAUAUUCGGUCUUUUAAUCAAGGGUUUCUUAAUACUGAAGUGUGGGAUAAUUAACAGCAGAUUGUUGAGUUUGUUGGAAACCAUGAACCUAUAAUUCUGAUUUAAAAAUAAAACUUAAAUAGAUUUAAUUUCUACCAUGAAUGACCACUCGUCGGAGAAAAGCCUACGGCGGAACCGGUUCGUUUGCGACAGACAAUUAUGUUUCGAAAUCUUAUCAUUAGUAAGUUAAAGUAACUGCAUUUAAAAAACACAUUCUAAAAAUAGAAUCAAAAGCCUACAAGUAAAAACAAUUUGAAAAACUCUUUCUCAUACAUCAACACUAGCUCAUCCUAAGGUCAUUUAUAUGGGGUUAAUUUUACUAUUACUUGAUGCUUAUGUUCUGAAAACUAAAUAAUCGCAUUUGACAAACACAUUCCGAAAGUAGGAAUCAAAAGGUCUUAUAAGUAAGAAUAAUUUGAAUACCUGUUUCUCGUGCAUCAACACUAGCUCAUCCUAAGGUCACACAAAGUUGCUUUUACUAUUACUUGAUGCUCAUGUUUUGAAACCUCAUCAUUAAUUAACAAUCUUGUCAUUACUAAUCUUAUCAUUAGCAACAUCCAUACCUUUCAUAAGUUGUCAAUCACAUCAUUAAUUAAUAUCUUGCUUUCAAACCUGUUCACUUCUAAACUUUCCACCACAGUUUAGCUGGUACGCUUGAAUUAAGUAUAAUUAAUUAUAUUACUUUGUGAGACGUGCAUUUUGAUUUAACCUACCACCUGUAAUUGAUAAAUUUUCUCUUUUUUUCUUUGAGAGCAAAUAUUUCGCAACUAGGUGCAUAUUCUUGCGCAAUACUGACGUGUUAGCCAUCGAAUAUUUCUCCUAAACUAAAAGUUUCAUUAAUUUCUACCUAUAAUUUCGUUGUAAUUUGAUGCCACUUCACUAUUGUAGAUGUUUUACACAAGCUCCUAAUUUGGAAGAAUGAUUAAAUUUCUACCUUAUUUAGAAUUAGUAGUGUACAAGAAAUGUCUGAAUUAAAUUGCUAUAAAAGGACAAAAAAAAUAUAUAAAGCUUAGCUCAACUAUUACCCAUUUCGAUUUAACUAUCUAACCUUUUGAAACUUUAAUCGUGUGGCCUAACAUUUUAAUUCAUGAGAUGUACGCCAUUUAUUGACCCUUUAACUUCAAAUUUUGAAUGAGUUGUUUCUCUGUACAAGCUUAAUUAGCAUAUAUUUUACCGAACUUAUGUGACUAUAAAUUAAUAUAGUAAACAAUUAGCUUAAAUUUUAUGUUCUAAGAGCCAUCAAUAUGACUUGAAUCAAACAAAUUGAAAGGUUGGAUAGUCGAAUCAAAUUGGCCUAUAGUUUAAAUAAGUUUUAUACAUUUUUACCCAAAAGUUUUUCUCUAUUCUUCGAAAUAUACCUACAUUAGAGCAUGGGAUUAAAAGGGAUUGGAUUCAAUUUAAUCUGUUCCAUUGUUGGCCGUAGCUGAUCUAGAAAAUUUUUCUAAAGGGUUUAAAUAUACAAUAAGAGAAAAUAUAAAAAACAUAAAAAGAAAAUUCAACAAAUACUACUGUUGAGAAAUAUGGCAUUAAAAAGAAACAUUUACUAUUUUGAAUAAUAAUUAUUCUUUCAUAAUUUAAAAAUAAUGUAUGAUGGUAUCAUUGGUGAUAUUGUUUUAUAUAAGUCACUAAACAGUAAUUCAAUAAUUGAUCACAUAUAUAGUUAUAUAAUUUAUUCUUUGUAAAGUUUAUUAUGGGAAAAGCUUCUACAGUUGUAGUAACAAUCAGUAGAAUUAAUGCUAACUUAAAAAAGCAUCGAUAUACAACAUAUACUUCUUUGUCUCGGCUAAUUUUUUUUUGAAAGAUUGCUAAACCCCUUCAUGUCAUAAAAUAUUUCAUCUUGGCGAAUAUCAACAAUAAAGUUUUCAAGUUGGUAUGCAAGUGCCGAAAGAUUUCUAUUCAAAAACCCAUUAGGAUAAAAAUGAGCCAAUCUAACUAGUUUUUCUUUAUUAUUGGAAGAGAUCGAGUCUAGCAGAUUUAAGUCCAAUUAUUAUUAUUAGCAUGCAAGGCCUCAUAUUAUCCAGACAGAAUAAUUUUUUCAUUCGAUAAUUUUUUCAUUGUUUAGACCCUGACAUUUUCAUCAAAUCCAAAUUAAACCGAAAUCACAGAUAUACAGACCAGAGUUACUACCUUGGCGAGAACGUCAAGUCCACACUCAGAUCAUAGACAUAAAGACUAGAAUUACUAGGCCCACCUACAGGUUAAAUAGGUGGUUCUCAUCAAAUCUAUUCGUCUUUGGUAUAGCACUUAGCUUUUAUACUUCCGGCUAAUAUAGGUGGUUCUCAUCAAAUCUCAUCAAAUAGCACUUUGCAUCGUAUAGCACUUAGCUUUUAUACUUCCGGCUAAUAUUCGUCUUUGAUAUCAAAUAUAACGACCCGACCUGUUAGUAAUAAUAACUCGUUCGGCCCAAAUCGUCGACCCAAAAUACUUAAGCCUAGUUAUUAUUACUAACAUGCAAGGCCUCAUAUAAUCUAAUCAAAAUUAUUUUUCUAUCCGAUGUGGAACUAUUGGGACAUUACAUAUAAUUUGUAAUAUCUUAAUCCUUUCUUAACAAAGCCAAGUUCAACUUAGUGGUAAUUCUCAAGAUAGUUUGUAUCAAAUAUAACAUAAAAGUAUAUUAAAAUGAUUAUAAAGAAUUUAGGAGAGCUUGUGCACUCUUUGUUUAGGAAUUAAGCUUUUUAUUAUAAUAGCUUCAAUUACAUCCAUAAAAAAAGAGAACAGAGGAAUUAAAUUCAAAAAUGAUUUUCUAGAAACCAACAUUUUUAUUUAUUAUUUUCGAAAAAGUUAGGGCAUUUCUGUCAUAUUGGACAACUUUUAAUAAAACAAAAUUGCCAUUUUGGAGUCUGAUAGUGCUAUAAGUCAUAAGAGGGAUUUUCGUGCAAUUUUGCACAAUAUAAUGACGUUUUGGGAUAAAAAUGAUCGAGAAAGAUGUCGAUAAAAUAGAUUUUUGUGAAAAGAAAAUGUAAUAUUUUAUAUGCUGAAUUGCAUAAACAUUUGCUGGCGGAACUACUAUAUAUAUGCAAAAUACACAUGCGGGAGAAUUUUGAGUAGGAAACUAUAAAGUAAAAAGGGUAAAAUAAAUUUUUUAUAAAUUUAGAAAAAAAACGCGAUCUAUGAAAGUUGAAAAUAUUUUGCAACGAAGAACUCCUAUGCAUGGAGGACUGCGAGAUGAUUGAUGUGAUAAAGGAAAGACAAUGCAAGGAUUUCUCUACAAUUGUUAUAAUAAAAGAGAACAAAAAAAUAAAACUCUCUCUCUCUUUCUCUCCCCUCACCCAGCCAUCGCUCCACCAACUUUCCGCCGCCCGACACCCUUCCCGGCCGAUGGUAAGCCCCGACCAGGCUCCUUUUGUUUUGCUCUCUUUUUCUCUCUCUAAAUCUCUCUAGAUCCCUCUGUUAUCUCUCUCUUUUUUUCUUUCUUUCUCUCUCUCUCUCUCUCUCUCUCUCUCUCAAGUGGCUACAACUCUACUGCCACCACCGCUAUCGCCUGUCUCUCCUACCUCCGACGACCCUACUCUAGCACCACCAUGUUACACCGAGCCUUCUUUGAGCUAGGAUUUGGCCGGAGCUAGAGCUAGACCUUUCGCGCCAAAUCUAGUUGGAUCUGUGCCAAAGCUGAGGCUAGCGGCCACCACCUCCUUAACCCUCCCUUCUGCCGACUACACCUAACCCUACCGACCCAGUCUCCGCUGGCUGUGUUGGAAACUUUCGAGAGCUACUAUUGCCUUCUUGCUACCUAGCUGAGCUACCCCUAGUUGAGCUUCAUGUUCCGACCACUCCCGCCAUCGGCUAUGGUUUGAUGAGGAGCACGGUACCUACUCAAUCUCCUCGGUAUUCGUGCUUAUCUCGGUGUUAGCCCUAGUCACUACAGUGGGCUUGUUUGAAUUGCACACUCUCGGGAAUAUCUUGUUAUGAAGAAAAGAUCACUCUAUCUUCGUUGUUGGCAGCCAUGGGCACUCCCGAUUGUGAGCACAGUGUUUGAAAUGUCGCUGCCUACCUACUGGUGUUGUUGGCUGAUUUCCAAAUCGCAGAAUCAUCAGUAAAAUGUUAUAUAUUAAUCAAGUAAUUAUUUAAAAGUUAGGGCCUUUUAUGAAAUUGUGCAUUGUGGGUCACUUUGGAUAGUGUUAAUUAUUUGUAUUUGACUUUGGACUAGUCAUCCUAAGUUUGAAAAUCAAUUUGAAACUGAAAUAGGCCUUUUCAAUAUUUCGCCAGAAUCGUUGUUGUAAAUGCAAUUUCGGUUUAAAAUUCGCGUAAACAUUGUUGUGGCUAUUUUUAGACAUUUUUGAACCUACAUGGCAGGUUGAUUUUUGCUGUCCUGAGUAUUCACAGAUAGUGAGAGGGUUGUGGUAGGUUCUGAUGCUGAAAAUACUACUUCCGGAGCUGGAAAUUACUUAUUUUUUAUACUGAAAUUCCUUUCGGUUUGCCUUUUGUUUGCGGCUGCCCUAGCACUUAAAUUGUAUAUCUUAGGGCAACAGUUGGGCUAAGGAGGGGAUUGACAUCAUUUGGGGCUCUUCAUAAGCCCAAAUAGCUAUUUUGCAAGUUUAUGUGAUUAUCGAUAAAAAUUGAAAAUUGGUGGUUGGAAUCGAUGUUCCGAUCACAUGGUUGGUAUUGUUUAUGACUUUAUGUCACGUUUAUGGGGCUAUGUGGUAAUAAGGUCAUCUUUGGGCUAAAUGCAAAAUGUGCAUAUGUUCUGACAUCGAAACGGUGUCUGGAAUAUCAAAUUGGGCCAUUUUGGCCUAACCGUUGGGGUCGGAGUACGCAUUUAUACUUGAUGCUUGCUAGAGUUCUGUUAUAGUUAAUUCCAAGUGGAAAUGACCUUUGAGAGUGAUUAUAUAGUUGUGUGCUGUCCCAUUGCCGAAAUCGGCAACUUUAAGACUUGUCGAGACGGAAACUCCAUGGUUCCAGCACACUGAUUGUGCAUUUGGACUACAAAACUUGUGGAAUGUGUUUCCAUAGGUCGCUGGUUGAAACCAAUAGAAUGAGUAUUCCUACCGUCCAGUAUUUCUUAUGCAAAAAUUGGCAUACAUUGGUACCUAUUAAGGCAUAGUUUUAGGGCAAGGGUCGUUUUAGUAACGCACUUUGCAUGCGGUUGUCUCAGUAUCUAACUCGACAAUUUUCACCAUAGCGGAUGGUCUAACGAGACCUAUGGCAUGUCUUGGGACACUCCAAGGGCUAGUUGGAGGGCUCAGUGGUUUUGACGACAUUUUGGGCGAGGUACGAAAAUCAGUUAAAAAAAUAGCCAUAUAGAAUUGAGCUCCUAUGCUUUUAAAAGUACAAGUCAUUGGUGCUUAUAGAUUUUCUGUCCCUAGAUUGAGAGAUGUGCAGUUAGGAUGAUAGUGGCCCUCUAGGGUUGAGUGGGUGAGUGGUUGACAUUACAACAUAACUAGGUUAUAGGGACAUAUUUUUUAGACAUUUUUUUGUACGUGUCUCAUUUAUACCAAAAUAUUUUUAAAAAAUCUACUAAAACCUAAAUAUAAAGCCCAAUCCAAUCAAAAAUAAAAAGUUUCUCUACUCAACCAACCCCACCCAGCCCACUCGGCUCGAUUAUAAAUAGAAAAGGAAAAAAAAAAUUGAUCACCAUCUACCCUUUUCCUCCUCCGCUGCUGCAGCCAACGAGGUAGGGUUCCAACGGCUAGAGUUUGGCUGCCUGGAUCUCGUAGGUACUGUAGACGGCUACGAUCGCCACGUGUCCUUCCGCCACAAGUUGCUAGAGGAGUGGGUGCCAAACAUCAAUAGCGACUCCACAUAUAGCAGCACUCUUAAAAAGUGUCGGUAAUUUAGCCAGUAUAAUUUUUUUUAACAUGUACCGACAUUUAAAAAUGUUGUUAUAAACAUUUUUGUUGUAAUGUGAAUAGCAUGAUCUAACAGAUAAAAAUAGUCAAAGGGGUAGAAUCUAACGACGAAAAACUUACACACACAAAGUAUUUAGCGCUUUUAAAAGCACCAUAUUUGAGAGUGAUUAUAUAGUCGUGUGAUGUCACAUUGAGGAAAUCGGCAACUUUAAGACUUGUCGAGGCAGAAACUCUAUGGUUCCAGCACACUAAUUGUGCAUUUGGACUGCAAAACUUGUGGAAUGUGUUUCCGUAGGUUCUCACUGGUUGAAACCAAUAGAAUGAGUAUUCCUACCGUCCAGUAUUUCUUAUGCAAAAAUUGGCAUACAUUGGUACCUAUUAAGGCAUAGUUUUAGGGCAAGGGUCUUUUUAGUAACACACUUUGCGUGCGGUUGUCCCAGCAUCUAACUCGAUGAUUUUCACCAUGGCGGAUGGUCUAACAAGACCUAUGGCAUGUCUUGGGACACUCCAAGGGCUAGUUGGAGGUCUCAGUGGUUUUGGCGACAUUUUGGGCGAGGUACGAAAAUCAAUUAAAGAAAUAGCCAUAUAGAAUUGAGCUCCUAUGCUUUUAAAAGUACGAGUCACUGGUGCUUAUAGAUUUUCUAUCUCUAGAUUGAGAGAUGUGCGGUUAGGAUAAUAGUGGCCCUCUAGGGUUGAGUGGGUGGAUGGUUGACAUUACAACAUAAUUAGAUUAUAGGGACAUUUUUUAGACAUUUUUUUGUAAGUGUCCCAUUUAUACCAAAAUAUUUUUAAAAAAUCUACUAAAGCCUAAAUAUAAAGCCCAAUCCAAUCAAAAAUAAAAAGUUUCUCUACUCAACCAACCCCACCCAGCCCACUCGGCUCGAUUACAAAUAGAGAAGGAAAAAAAAAAUUUGAUGACUAUCUCCCCUUCUUCUCCUCCGCUGCUGCAGCCAACGAAGUAGGGUUCCGGCGGCUGGAGUUUGGCUACGUGGAUCUCGUAGGUACUGUAGACGGCUACGAUCACCACGUGCCCUUCCGCUACAAGUUGCUAGAGGAGUGGGUACCAAACAUCAAUAGCGACCCCACAUAUAGCAACACUUUUAAAAAGUGUCGGUAAUUUAUCCAGUAUCAUUUUUUUUAACAUGUACCGAUAUUUAAAAGUGUUGUUACAAAUUUUUUUUUUUGUAGUGUGAAUAGUAUGAUCUAACAGAUAAAAGUAGUCAAAGGAAUAGAAUCUAAUGACAAAAAACUUACACAUACAAAGUACUUAGUGCUAUUAAAAGCACCAUAGCCCACCCCCCCCAAACCCCCCUCCCCCGGCCGUCUAGGGCUGAGUGGGUGGGUGGUUGACAUUACAACAUAAUUAGGUUAUAGGGACAUAUUUUUUAGACAUUUUUUUUGUAAGUGUCGCAUUUAUACCAAAAUAUUUUUAAAAAAUCUACUAAAGCCUAAAUAUAAAGCCCAAUCCAAUCAAAAAUAAAAAGUUUCUCUACUCAACCAACCUGUCCCAGCCCACUCGGCUCGAUUACAAAUAGAGAAGAAAAAAAAAAAUUGAUCACCAUCUCCCCUUCUCCUCCUCCGCUGCUGCAGCCAACGAGGUAGGGUUACGGCGGCUGGAGUUUGGCUGUGUGGAUCUCGUAGGUACUGUAGACGGCUACGAUCGCCACGUGUCCUUCCGCUACAAAUUGCUGGAGGAGUGGGUGCCAAACAUCAAUAGCGACCCCACAUAUAGCAACACUUUUAAAAAGUGUUGAUAAUUUAUCCAGUAUCAUUUUUUUUAUCAUGUAUCGAUAUUUAAAAGUAUUGUUACAAACUUUUUUUUUGUAGUGUGAAUAGUAUGAUCUAACAGAUAAAAAUAGUUCAAAGAGAUAGAAUCUAACGACAGAAAAACUUACACAUACAAAGUACUUAGCGCUUUUAAAAGCACCAUAGCCCGCCGCCCCCCCCCUCUCUCUCUCUCUCUCUCUCUCUCUCUCUCUCUCUCUCUCUCUCUCUCUCUCUCUCCAUGUAUUGUUGUUUUUUUUACAAAAGAUUUUAAAAGAGCCCCAAAGCUCUCCAUGUAUUGCUAUUUUUUCUACAAGAGAUUUUAAAAGAGCCCCAAAGCACGGCAGUUCAAACUGAUUUCUUGAUUUGAACCUUGUUUACUUUGAAGCCAUCACUGGUCAAUACUUCUUCAACUUUUUCAAUUUGUUUUCCUCGAAAUAUGUUUCUACACUGAACUCCAACUAUAUUAAAAACAUUGUCAGCAGUAUCAAAAACCAAGCAACAACAUCAUACUUUUUGUUUAUAACUACAAGAAUCAAUUGAAAUUAAAUUGUUUAUUUCAGUGACAAAGUUGAAAUAUAAUUAAUAUCUAUGAUGCUAAUAAACCACUCCAUAACAAUUCCCGUUUAUUAACAUAGCGCAACAUAAGAGCCAUUUGCUAUAUGUUCAAUAUAUCACGGGACACGAUCGUGAAUUAAUAUUCCAAAAAUAAUUAUUAUCAAGAUCGUCAAUAAUAGCAUUGAUUGUUUUUCCUAUACAAGCAUUCAUAAAAUCUUGUUGAAUUGGUGAAGCAAAUAUUUGCUGAUUUUCUGGAGCAUUUCAUAAUCCAACACUUACAUUUUUAUUACGAUUGUCCUAUACCAUUUUAGAAGUUUCAACAUUUUUUCUCUAUUACUAAAAACAUCAUAUUCACCGCAGCUACAAAACAUAAAUCAUUGGCACAAAAAGAAGCCUUAAACAAAUCUUUGGUGCAUUCAAAUGAGUUUUAUUCUGUUGAAAAAUUUUUCUGAUCUUUUAGCAAAAUAUUCUUUAAAAAUAAUUCGAAAGUUUAAUUUCAAUUUUUAAAAAUUUUUUAAAAAAAUAUUAAAUAAUAAAUACUGUAGAGAAAAUGAUUAGAAAAGGUCAUCGAGACAUGCAAAAUACUGUCCUAGAAGCAAAAUUGCCCCUCUACGUGCGAGGCUUUCCAGCAAUUACUUCUGGCGAUACAACAUCCACGUUCCACCCCGCCGGCACGCUUUCGAAGUGGCGCAAGAUGAACCCAACAAGUUUUAGGAGAUUCAGCGAAAUACUAGAAAGCUCGGUGAAAAUCAGAUAAAAGAUAAAUGGGGAGAAAAUAGAAAAAGACGAGGCAAAGGGUAGGGUUUUGCUUUCAAGUAUGCUUUGGUUCAGGUUGGACUUAUGCAACCUCGUCCAUAUAUAUAUAUAUAUAUAUAUAUCCAAGACAAGAAUCAAGAUAAGCCUAAGAUUAUAUGAGAUAUGGACUAGAUUUCCAAAAGGAACAGGAUAAAGAUAAAGAUAAAACCAAAAAAUAAAAAAUAAAAUAAAACAGAUGUCUGGACCGCCCGACCCUGCUUGUGUUCGUGCCAUGUGCGCGUGCGUGUGUUUAGUUGAGAGUAUAACUCUUAUUUUCUCCUAAACAACUAGUUUGGGAAUAAAUGAGCAAAUAAAUAAUCACAAUACAUUUUUAGUUUUAAAUGUGGGACAUACCUCAUAUAUGAAAAUCUUAGUUAGACUUCCGAGCAAGACCCAUUAAGUAUUAGGGAAAACUUCAAAAAUCCCCCCGUAGUUCCGCACUUUUUUAUUUUAGUACCCUCUGAUUUAAAGUGUAUCAAGUUAGUACCUUGUGGUUUCGCACUUUCUCACUUUAGUAUCAUGUGGUUUAAAGUAUAUCAAGUUAAUACUUUGUGGUUUAUUUUUGUAUCAAGGUAGUACCCUAUGAUUUUAUUUUUGUAUCAAAUUAGUACCAUGUGGUUUUAUUUUUCUCUUAAUAAAAUAUUCAACCACAGGGUACUAAUGUAAGAAAGUGCGAAACCACAAGGUACUAACUUGAUACCCUUUAAACCACAGGGUACUAAAGUGAGAAAGUGCGAAACCAUAGGGUCACUACAACAAAAAUGGUCUAUAGCGACACUUUUAAAUAUAGGUACAUGUCAAAAAAGUGCUGCUAGCUAAAAUUACCGACACUUUUAAAAAGUGUUGCUAUAUGUGGGGUCGCUAGGUAUAUAGUGACAGUUAAAGAGUGUCGCUAUAACCUAAAAGAGUGCUGCUAAUUUACCAACACUUAUUUAAGCAUUUAGCAACCGUCGAAACUCUAUCUCGUUGGUUACGGUGGCGGAGGAGGACGACAGGAAAGGCUCUUCGUCUAGAAUUUCAGUGGAUUGAGUGAAGAGAGAAGAAAAGAUGGUAAUUAAUUUUUCUCUUUUUUUUCUUUUCUGUUUGUAAUCGGGCCAAAUGGACUGGGUGUGGUGAGUUGAGUAAAGUAAUCUUUUAUUUUUGGUUGGAUUGGACUUUAUAUUUAGUUAUUAGUAGAUGUUUUAUUAAGUUUUAGGAUAAAUGAGACACUUACUCAAAAGUGUCCCAAACAUGUGUCCCUAUAACCUAAUUCUGUUGUAGUGAGUUCUAACUUGAUACACUUUAAAUUACAAUGGGGUAUUUGAAGUUUUCCCUGAAAGCAAUUUGUGUUGACUAUUGUUGCUUCAUUAGGACUCCACAUUUUUUGACAAAUUUACUAUUAAAUCCACCAGCACGCAAAUCUAGUUUUUUUUUUUUUUUUUUGGUGCUCCAAACCUUAUUUUCCACCAUUAUCUUUAACAAAAAUAGUGAUAUGCAAACAAAAUUCCGCAUCCUCCUUUAUACAAUAUUCUAACCAAUUACUAUACUGGUCAAAUCCAUACGGAAUCCUCUAGUAUUCUUUUAAGUAAAAAUUAUGGUUGGUAUUCGAGACCUAACUUUAAAUCCUAGUUGAUUCAUAUUUCCAGCUAAAUUUAUUUGUAAAUAAAAUAAACGAAACGAGUAACGUGCUACCUAUCUCUUAAAAAAAAAAAAAAAAGUUAUGACGAUGGUAACGAAGGGCCUUUUUGCAAGUUUGCUCCCCGAAAAUUCUCCCGAUAAUUUGUAUACCAGUUUAAUAUUUAUUUUUUAUCUAUUGAAUCCGCGGGAUAGUAGAACUAUAAAUUAAUUUCAUUUCUUUUAAUGGAAGAUUUAUUUGUGCUGUUUUAUAAAAUCUUCUAUAUUUUUAUUUCCACUUCCACAUCUAUUGUCAAAAGUUUCUCGACAAUUCGCUUGCAAGAAUUGUUGAUUGAUAAAAAAAGAAAGCUUUUUUACCACUCACAAAAAUACCAACACGUCAACAAUAAUCAAAAAGAAAGCAACCAAUAAUUGUGAUUCACAGAAAUAAUAACCAAGAAUUGUUUUAAUAAUUCAAUUGUCCUAAAUUCAAUCCUAUCUACCUUGUGAUUUUGGAUUGAUUUGACUACAAGAAUCUAUCGUUAAAUAAGAUAAUAAAGUAAAACAUUUUAUUAACCACAAGCCUACCAAACCAUGUAUUUAACAUAUCAAUACCAAAAUCUUUAUUAUAGCAUGGCAAUUUCAUUCGGUUCAAAGGUAUUUUUCACAACAAACACUUAAAUUAAACAUAUACCAAAUGUUAAGGAAUUGAUUAUAAAAAUCAGAAGGAUGGGGAUCAAAAAAGUUUAAAAAUAGGCUAAAAAUGGGUGGUGCAACUAACCCUUUAAAAUAUAAUAAUAAUCAUGCAAGUUCAAUGGUCACUACCUAAUUAAGUUGUAGUUACUCCCUACAUUUCCAUACUGUUUGGCAAAACUCCAAAGAAAAAAAAAAAAAAGAAAAAUCAUUGACAUUUUUGUGGUCAUCACUAUUCUUCUUUCACAUUUAGAAAUUUACAUUCAACUCCCUCAAUAAAUGUCAUUUAUUGCUCUGCUCACAAGUGAAUUGGGACCCAAAAUCCCAAAUAUUCUCUGGUAAAGAGCUUUCAACUCUUUCUCAAUGGAAGCAAAUGCCCUUACCACACAUGGCCAAAAUAUCUCCUCUUCAAUUAAUAAAAACAAAAACAAAACAGAGACCUCUACAAUAAGUCAUGGUGAUGGAUAAGUAAUGGAAAGAAAUUUCCUACUUAUCCAUUGAUCUCGCCACUCAUCUGAAGAGCAGGAGCCAGCUCAACUACAAACAAUAAUUCAAUUAUUUGUACAAAAGUCCAAUGUAAUAUAUUGGCAUCUGUCUCUUAUUGAGCGACUAAAACACAAGUCAUAUUAUUUUUGUGUACAGAAAAAUUUCUACGCAUUAUAUUGUUGAGAAUUAUUUUGGCGUGAUCUUGUGCAGAAAAAAAGUUAAAAUAGAUUUUUUUAUAAAAAAAAAUUAACAUAAAGAAAUUAAGCUAAGAAAUAAUAGCACAAAUACCAAGAAAAUAUUUGUUCUUGUGGGCCAUGUCAAUCAUUGCUAUUUCUUAUGUUCUGAUUUAGGAAGUCAACUGUUUUGGUAUCCUCUGACAAGCUUGCACAUGCCUGAUUUGAUAUUUUCUUCCAUAAAUGGAGAAUAUCCAUAUCACAUCCACAAUUACAUUCUCUGUAAAAAAAAAAAAAUCAUCUUUAGUAACUAAAAAAAAUUAAAUUAAAUUAAAUUAAAUUAAAGAAAAAAUUUCAAAAACCCCCCAUGUGGUUUCGCACUUCUCCACUUUAGUAACCUAUGGUUUAAAGUGUAUCAAUUUGCCCCAUUGUGGUUUUGUUUUUAUCUUUUCGGCAGCUUUUUUUUCUUAAUAUUUUGUUAAAUUAUAUACAAAAAAAACUUCAGAUACCCACCUAGAUUUAUCGAAUAUUUACUUUAGUACACUUAAAUUUUAACUUUUUCACUGAUUCAAGAAAAAAAAAAUUGAUACUAAAAAGAGAAAAACGAAAUCACAAUAGGGCAAAUUGAUAUACUUUAAAUUACAGGAUACUAAAGUGAAAAAGUGCGAAAUCACACGAGGGGUUUUUGAAGUUUUUUCUAAAUUAAAUAAAUGCUCCUUGCCACUAAGUAGUUUGGGUUGGUGCAUGUUGCAUCUAUGAGUAAUUGUUUUCUAAUUUGAAUUCUGCUUGAAGCAGAAAUAAGCUGAAAUAAGUAAUUUGAUAACUUUGAUAAUUAAUGCUUGCAUUCCCAACAUUCCCAACCACACUCUUAAUCUAUCUUCCAUCUCGUUUGGUAAUUCAAAUUACAAUGAAAGUCUUAAGAGAAAGAUAUAUAGCAUGAUAUCCGCUUCGUCUAAUUUUUUUUAAAAAAAUAAAUUUAGCUGAAAAUAUAAAAUAAUUAGAUUUCAAAUUUGAAAAUUCUCAGAAACCAAAUACCAAUUUUUUUUGCUAUUUGUGUUAGGACCAGUCGAUAAUAAGAAAUAAAGUUAUAGUAUAUAUUAAUAUUAUAUAAACAGAGGAGGAGGCGGAGGCGCCGACAAUAAUUUAUUAGGAAACAAAUAAAGUACCUUAAUAAAUGAAUAAAAGAAUACAGAAAAAUCUGAAAGCAGCUGGUGGCAGCUGUAUUAUCAGCAAGCCACUAAUAAUUGAUUAGGUUGUUGGAAUAAGUCUCUCUGAUUUCACAAGAUUAACAAAUCCAUUAAAAAACUACUUGUGUGAAAAUAACUUGUCUAAACUUGGUGGAAAUAAUUCACAACUAUUUCAGAGAUGGAGAAAGAAAGAUUCACUCAAGUUCACAAGCAAAAUUCCUUUUUAACUGCAUUGACGAAAUAACCUAACCUUAACAUAAAAAAGAAGAAUCUCCUUUUCUUCUCGCAGACUCUGAAAUGUUGCUUUCGAAACAGAUACAAAAUUAUCACUUUCAUCUUGAGAAUGUGUUUGGACUGCACUGUGCUGCUUUUCUUAUGGCGUAUACUCCAACAAAUGUUGCUUUCGGAACAGAUGGACAAUUAUUGCAUCUUCCACCAAACAAAUAAUAUAAUCCCUUGUCCCACGGGUAAACCAUUUACUACACUCUUUUUGCGCUAGAGACAUGCAAUUCCUUAUUUUCUAAACUGUUUAAGGGGAAAAUGAUUCACCGUACUAUUAUUGGUUUUUUUUUUUCCAUAUAAAAUAAAUGAUAAAGGGAAUCGAUUGUAAUGAACAUUGAUAUUUUUUUUUAAUUUUAAUAACACAGCUCAAAUUUCUUUCCCGGUCUCAGAUUUAUAUGGUGUACGAACAAGAGCUAUUACACAACGGCGACUUAAUUCUUUCACCCAGAUUUUGUAACACAAGCUGUUGCAAGCCCGAAACAAAUAAGUUAUGACAUAUAACAACAGUAUGGAGAGCAGGCAGAAAUCUGAGGCUUUUGGGGUGGGGGGAAAUUUGGAGCGAUCAGGCGAUCCGGCGGCAGAGGGUGACGCCGUCGCCGACGGGGAGCUGGCAGAUCUCGACGCGGGGGUCGACGGCGAGCGCCUUGUUCAGCUCGAGCACGAAGUCGCGGUAGUAGCGGACGUACUUGCGCAGGGGGGCGUCCGGCGGGGCCACCACCGUGCCGUUCCACAGCGUGUUGUCGUACGCGAUCAGGCCGCCCGGCUUGACCAGGUCGAGGAGGCGCUUGUGGUAGUUCAGGUAGUUGUCCUUGUCCGCGUCCACGAACACGAAGUCGAACGACCCGUAGUUCUUCUUCUGCACCCCGGCAACAAACAAACAUGUUUCCAUAAUUUCAUUAAUGAUAGAACUGACCAGAUUCAAUAAAUCUAUUAUUUUUUUUUAGUAGUAAGAGUCAAUUCGACACGAUCGAGAAUCGAGUGGUCUUACAUCUUCUAGCAAUUGAUCGAGGACGGGCAGAGCAGGGCCCUCGCGGAAGUCGAUCUUGUGCGCGACGCCGGCCUUCUCGAUCACCGGCAGGCCGAGCUCGUAGUUCUCGCGGUUGAUAUCCAUUGCCAGUAUCUUUUUCCCAAAAAAACAAAAAAAAAAAAAAAAUCACCAAAACUUAAUUCAGAUCUGAUUAUCAGAAUUCCCCCCAACAAAAGAAGAAAGAAAAAAUAAAUAAAAUAAAAAAAACACUAAACUGGCGUCGUCGGGGAGGCGAGGGCGGUGCGAGAGGAGUAGCGGUGUAGACGCCGAUCAUCGUUCUUCUUGGCGUUUGAUCAGCUCAGCAGCAUUUCAGGAACUGCCCUCGUCGGCGACGUGGUCAUGGAUAUUCCUGCGUUGUCAAAACCCGCAAAAUUUGUUAAAAUCAAAUCUCUACAACACAAAAAAAAAAAAAAAAAAAAAGAGUACGAAACGUGGGACAGCGAUUGGUCUGGAACAUAGAUAGAUCAGAUCUGGUAGGACUUGUUUAUAUAUACCAUGGGUGCUUGGCCGUGAUCUCGCGGAGCUCCUUCAUGCACUCGGGCUCGCGAGGGUAAACGCUCGUCUCCAGUAUAUACUAUAUGCAGCAAGCAUUCAGAUCGGAGAUUGUGAGACAUUAACAAUCAGAUCUCGCCAUAAAAUUAUGCGAAGAAAGAAAGAAAUAAAAUAAGAAUCAAAUAGUAAUUAUUAUUAAUUACCUGAUAAAGCGCGUCGCUCUGGAGGAGGCUCUUGUGGCCGACCUCCUGAUGCCGCCCCUGCUCCUUGCCGUUCGCGCCGUUUGCGCCGUUCGCCGCGCCAUUGGCGGCGCCGUUCACGCCGUUCGUCGUCGUCGUCGUCGCCGCGCCAUUCGCUGUUGUUGCCAUCGUUGUGAGAGAGGGGAGAUGCUCGGAGAUGGAUGUGCGAGAGGAGAUUGCUUGGUUGUUCCUUGCUAGGUACUGGCUUGGUCGAAUGGACGUCGUGGGGGGUCUGUAUAUAUAGUAGUAGUAGUAGAGUAGUAGUUUCACGGCAAAAUUAAAAAAUAAAAUAAAAUAAAAAGGCAUAUAAAAUUUAAAACUGGUACUUGUACUAUUUUGAUAUGCCAAGUUGGUUGCCAUGUGGCCUCGCGGCUGUAACUUCCGCACAUUGAGCUUCCGUACGACGUUUAGACUUUGGGCAUUUGCAUGUUACGCUUAAAUAUUCCCAAUGUUUAUAAGAAAAUAAUAAUUUUUCUGGAAAAUCAUCUUUUUAGUAUUGCUUUGAGUUAACUCAAAUUAGGUAGACAGUUUACAAAUAAGUUGAAAGCUAAAUUUUUGGCAGACUAGUGUCCUAUUGGUUGCAGGUUAUUCAGUAUAAAAACUCUGUCGUGUGAUUGAAAGGUAAAAAUCGAUUGUUACAUUUUAAAAACUUUAAUUAUUUAUAAUUUGCUAUGAUAAUAUAUUUUAUUUAUCAAAAAUUUGUCUUAUUCUAAGUAACUGAGUUGAAUGUUGCUAUAGUGUUCAUUUUGGACGUUUGUUUAUAUUUCGUAUCCUCAAGUGAGAUAUUAAUCCAUCUAAACAUAAUUAAAAAAGAGAAAAGUUCAGAAAAUGAAAUAAUUGGGGGAAGGAGUUAGGCGUUGUGUAAUAAAUUAUACACAUGUUUACCAGAAAAAAGGACAAAGGAAAGGGGUGGGCCGUGAGCGUGGGGUUGAAUGGUUCGGGGGUGGGUGACCGGCGUAACCGUGGAGGCUACUGCCACUACUGGUGGUUUUGGGUUGGUGAGCACCCCGCGCUAGGCGUGGGAACUGGGCCCCACUGUUCCCUGUUUGUGGGGUCCACUCCCACCUACCCCGCCCUAGGCGUGGGAAACGGGUCAGCAAUUUUUUUUUUUUUUUUUUUUUGAAGAUCAAUUUUGAAUAUCAUUUCUGUGAUUUCGUACUUCAGUAUAUGUGAUACAAAAUAUAUUAAUUUAGUAUUCUGUAAUUUUUUUUUUAUUAUUUUUUUUAUUAAUUUUUCGCUAAAUUAUAUAUAAAAAAUUUAAGAUAUCUCAACUAUAGUUUAUCGAAUAUUUACUUUAGUAUUUUUUUAUUUUAACUUUAUUACUGAUUUAACGAAAAAUAUUAAUAUAAAGAAAAUAACAAAAAAAAAAAAUUGCGGGAUACGAAAAUAAUAUAUGUUAAAUUACAGGAUAUUAAAGUAACUGAAAAAAUGUAAAAGUUGUAUUUGAAGUUUUUUUUAUUAUUUUUACUCUUAAUUUAAAUUUUUUAAUUUUUUUUAAAAAAAUUAAUUUUUAUGGUGAAUAGUUGUUGUCAGAGUGGAGUGGAGUGGACGUGAGGGGGACCGACCGUCUGCCGAGAUCUGGCCACCAAACCCACGUUCUCUAUCGUGGUGCCGCCUGCUGCCGUUCCGAGACAUUUCGCUUAAUUAAUUAGAGAGAGACGGAGCGAAAGAGGACACCUUGUAAUAAAUUAUGAAUUAUCCCUGCAGUAAAUUUAAAAAAAAAGAAAAAAAAAAAAAUCAGCGAAGAUCUUUCCAGUAUAAGGAUCCGUGAACGAGCUCCCCGAUCCGCUAUCAUAUGUUAAUUUUAUUUUUAUACAUGAUUUACAAUUUUUUUUGAAUUUUAGUGUUAAAAAAAUAUCUAAGGAGUUCUUCAUUGGAGACCGAACAACUGUGUGGCAGCGAAUUGAUUUCAAUGAGAAAUCAUUGCGGAGCUCUCAAGUGUAAAUUUUAUCCACUUUGUUUUCAACCAAUAAAGAUGUCAAUGGCCACGACUAUUCAAGAUUAGGCUGGGAUUAACGGAUACUAAACAUGUUUGAUUUCCAUUACGCGUAUCAGAAAACAAAAACCCUGUGGAAGGAUUGGGGUUCGGAUAUGAUUUUCAUCUAUACUCAACCUAAAUCUGAAUCCGAGUCCGAAUAAAUCCGAAUCAGUUAUCUAUUAUAUAAUAUAUGUUGGAUUUUAUUGGAUUUGAUUGUGAUUUAAAACUUGUUAGGCAUUUUGAGGAGUCUAAUAAUUAAUGGGUGUUGCUUGGAAAGCCAACUAAAAUUUUUAUUUGUAAGAUUUAGUCCUACAUUGAAAACUAAAAAAGUAUUGAUCGUAUAUAUAUAUUCUUUUAUUCUCAAACUGGUUAUUUGCGAGAAAAUAACAGUUAUACUUUCGUUUAAACACACGCACGGCACGAGCACCAGCCGUGCCGAGCAAGCGGUCCAUACAUUUGGUUUAUGUUAUUUUAUUUUUAUUUUCGGUUUUAUCUUUAUCCUAAUUUUAAUACGGGUUUAACGCGUUGAAGCAAGAUUCUUGCCUUGGUUAUAAAUACUGGACGAGGUUGCACAAGUUCGGGGUGAUCCGACGCAUAUCUAAGAAGAAAACCUACCAUCUAUCUCGUUUUUCCUGUUUUUCCGUCAUCUAAAUACAAAUCUAAAUCUAAACCUGCUUGUACAAGUUAUAGUAACAAAAAUUUAAUAUGCGACACAUAUCCGUAUCUAAAUUUAUAUCUGAAGAAAAAUUUUGUCAAAAAUUCAACUGUAUUGGGCUGUUUUUAGCUGUAGUUGGAGAGGGAAAAAAUGACUGACUUAAUUUGGUGACUUGCUCUUAAUUUACUCUAAAAUUAUAUAGGUUUGAGUUCUUUUGCAAUUUACCCUACAAUUAUAAGAUUGUAGUUAUUUUGUUGUGUCAUGUAUUUUUACAAAGAGUGCCCAAAAACCUCUUCUCGAAACAAAAAAAAACUUAUAAUUAAUCAAACAACCCUACACUUGUGUGCAAUACCUCACAUUUAUAAGACACACCAAAGAAGCCCUUUAUAAGAUACCCAAAGAGGGCCUCAAUUAUGAAUUUGGUUUUCUUUUUUUUUUUUUUUUGUUUUGAGAUUUUUUUGUUUUGAGAGAUAGGUAACACACUAUCUGUUUCGUUUAUUUCGUUUAGAAAUAAACUUAGCUGAAAAUGUGAAUCAAUUAGGAUUCGAACUUGGGUCUCGGAUACUAACCACCAAGCCCUUUGCCACUUGCUCUAGAGACGGUCGGUAUGAAUUUGGUUUUCAAAUUAUAAGAUGCCUGAUAUUUUAGUUCUCAAACUUUAAUGAUUGUAAUAUCUAGCUCAAACAUAAAUUUUAAAUUGUUAUAAUUAAAUUUAUUGUCCAAUUUAGUUAACCGGAUGCUGAUUUUGUUGAUCUGACAAUAAUUUGCAUUUUUGUUACUAUCACGUUAUCAACUACAAUAUAUUACUUGCCACAUCAGUGACACAUUAAUGUUCAGACAUUUAAAUUGGACUAUAAGAUUUGAUUACAAUAAUUUAAAAUUUUUAAGUUAAAAACUACAACAAAUUAAAAUUUGUGAGCCAUAACUCCACACGCCUUAUAAUUUGUAGACCAAAAGUGUAAUUUACCCAUAAAAAAUAUAGAACUCGCAUUCUUCUAGGAGCUCCUUUCGUAGCCUUUAUUUUAUAAAUUCAAAAAACAGCUCUUCGUCAAAUAAUCUACAGAGAUUGCUGUUGUUGCAGAAAGUAGAAACAAUGGCAGGCCAAACAAACCCUUAAUUUAUUUAAGCGCUAUAUAUAGACAUAUAAUUUUACCAUCGCUCGGAAUGCAACAAAAUUAUCAACCAUCCCCAUUUGAUAUUUGGUAGAAAAAAUUUACCGCUUUUAUUUAGAAUGUUUCUAUUAACAGAAUAAAAAUUAUUAUUCAUUACGAACGUUCAUCAAGCUGAUUAUGAUAUGUAAAAUUUGAUAUAUGUAUUUGCUUUUUAGGUCAAUUAGUUUCAUCAUUAAGACCAAUUCUUAUUUGAUCAUUUACGUUACUUCCUAAUUAACCUCAUAAAUUUUGCAAGUAGGGUUGUUGUUACUUAUUAAUUACUCUAACAAAAAUUGCUACGUUAGCAUCAAACAAUAUUUGCCGAGUCAAUAUUUUACUGUAAGUUUGGUCUAAUUUAACAGCAGUUUCAACUGCAGUAACUUAAUUAAAAUAGAUAAUAAAUAUUGUAUACGUAACUGUAGAAAUUAAAAGAUUAAAAACAACAGUAAAAAGUUUGAUUUAAAAUUAGUGGCAUGAUUAUUUUCUUUUUUAACUUUUUCUUUAUGAUUUUAAAUAUAUGGAAAAGGAUAUGUUAGAUAAAGAUGUUUACUACUUUACUACUAUAUAUAUAUAUAUUCUUCUUCUGACCCAAAUUAGUUACCCAAUGACACAGAAACGGUAAGCGCAAAAACAUUCUCUUUGAUGAAAAUGGGUUGGUUAUUAAUUUGCUUACGCUAUGGGUAAAAACUAUAACGACUAUGUAUAGUUUUAUUUUUUCCACAUUCAAAAUUCCUUUUUUUUUUUUCCCUCUGUUCGUCAAUCAUUUAAUUAAUUUGUCCCCCAUAUUUCUCGUUUUCUCUACGCAUUUUGAGAGUUAGGCGACAAAUUUUGAUUGCUUAAACGUUUGGUCAUAACACGGUGGUAUCACUUAUUUUAGUCCAAGUGAUGGUGAUAACCUAGCUCUUUUAGUUGCACUGUCAUUGGCUUUAAUUGUUGCAUUGGGUCACAUCAACUCAUGUGUCCUUAACUAUAUAUAUAUAUAUAUAUAUAUAUAUAUAUAUAUAUAGAGAGAGAGAGAGAGAGAGAGAGAGAGAGUAAAUCUCCUGUAUUUUCGAAAGUACGGAGACCUCCGUGCUUGUAAGUUAUUUUCGAUGAUAGGACAUCCGAUUCGACGAUCGGCUCCGUUAAGUAUAAUCUACCCUAUUGUAACUAUCUAGAAACCAAAUUUUAUAAUUUUUUGACAUCAUUUACCAAACGAUCAAAAGGUCUCAAAAAUAACUAUUUUAACAGCCGAUGUGGCACGUUUUUAUGUUCAACGGUGUAAAAGUAGCUAAAUUACAUAAAAAUUUAAUAGAAAAUUCUACUUAACAUCAGUAGCAAGAUCAAUACUUCCGAUUUAAAAUUUGAGUCCUUUAUCACUAUUUUUUAUGAGAUUUUUAUUUUCAGCCGUUCAUUUUGAGGCUACUCGAUCACUAGACAAACAAAGUCAAAAAGUUAUGAAAUUUGGUUUCUAAAUAGUUCCAAUAGCGUAGAUCAAGUUUAACGGAACCGAUCGCCAAAUUGGAUGUCCCAUCAUUGAAAACAACUUACAAGUACGGAGGUCUCCGUACUUUCGAAAGUAUAUACCUAAGCUCUAUAUAUAUAUUAUAUUAAUAUAUAUAGAGAGAGAGAGAGAGAGAGAGAGGAGUCCGGCUAUAGGUGCCUUGUAAAGUAUCAAGCACUGAUACUUUUAAAUUUUUUACGCGUUUAGAUCUAUGUCUUUGAUUAUUUUACCACGCCUUAGAUUACAACUAUUCAACCACCACCUACUCAAUCCAGGGGCCCACAUCAUCCUAACCGCAAUUCCUUAAUCAAGAGCCGAAAACUUAUAAGCACCAAUGACUGCGUUCUUUUCAAAGUAUAAUAGCUCAAUUCUAUAUAUAUAUAUAUAUAUAUAUAUAUAUAUAUAUAAUAUAUAUAUAGAAGAGAGAGAGAGAGGAGAGAAGAGAGAGAGGAGAGAGAGAGAGAGAGAGAGAGAGAGAGAGGAGGGCCGGUAUGCUUCUGAAGCCCGAGCCCUCGUGCUUCCGAGUGUUUUUCGAACCAGGCCGACACAUGUAUUCUUUUAGGACAUAAAUUUGUAUUUGACUUUAAAAUAUUAUGAAAAUUUGGGUUAUUAUUUUCAUUCAUGUUGUGAUUGUUCAUGAAUCGUCAAGAAUUAAUAAGAUGAUGACAUAUAUCUCAAGUGGUUAGAGAAUUUGAGAAUGUGUUAUCUGGUGGUUAAUUCCUAAAUGCUCCGAUCAAUGGAUCAUCACGGGGACGGUGAUUGAUCCAGUGAGAUUGGUGCAUAGGUCGCUUCCAUUUUGGGUAGACGAGUCUCGAGUCGACAGUGUAGGGACACUGAAGCGAAUAUGCAGGUGGUUGUUAGAGAACAAGGGUACCGAGCGUGACCAACGCGAGAAGUCACUUGGAUGUCUACUCACUCAUCAGUGACUUACUCAAUUGUUGCAGUAGUGUGACUGGUCCUUUGACCUGCGGUGCCUCGGCUAUUCAUAAUGAGAUUACUGUAGUUUGACUGUACAUACACUUGGUCCCUAGCCAUUCGGGUCCUUGCGGUGCAUGUUGGCUACAGUAGGUUCAUUGUAGGAAUAGGGUGAGCACUUAGAUGGAAUCUAUCUCCCUAGAUAGAUAGGGGUGUUAGUUCCAUGUGAUUUAUGAGACCGAGUUUAGAAGACUUUGGCCAGUGCAGAGUUAAUAGCGAAAAAGGCUUUCCGAUAUUAGAAACUCGAGUCAAAUAAAUUUAACAUAUGACAGAUGAUGGGGUUUGACGAGUUAUUCCAUAACCUCCGUCUAGUCGGGACUCAUGAUAGAAUGAUUGUAUCACACGGUAACUGCACCAAGAGGUUCAGUAUUCCAUUCUACUGGAAUGCCACUACAUGCUGCUAGGCGUCACUGGUGGAUUGUAAGACUCGUGAGAAUUGUCUAGAUGAUCGAUAAUUUUCAUUGUGCUGAGUUGGAAAUGUUCCGAUCCACUGAAAGGAGUUUCAGUGAUAUUGUUGAUAGUGAUCAAAAUAUAUUUCACUGCCAGAUAGAAUAGAAUCUAUGGGGUCACACACAUAAGAGGUUGUGAUUGAUCGGAUAGCUAGAUCGCGAUUAUUGAAUCGCCGGAGGACCUAAUUGUCAAUAUAUUGAUAAUUGGACUAAUUUGUAAUUGUUACAAAUUAUGAUAUUAAGAUGUAAAUGUUACAAGAGAGGACUUACUAAUAGUUAGUAAAUUAUAAAAGGACUUAUGUGCAAAUAUUGCAUUAUUAAUUUGAUAUGAUCAAAUUAAUAUAAAGAUCGAAUCAAAUUAGGAUUUGAUCGAUCUAACCAAUUAAGGAAAGGAUAAAUUUAAUCUAGAUUUAUACUUAUUCUUAAUUGUCAUUAUAUUAUUAGGAAUAGAAUUAUAUUCCUAUAUAUAACAUACGGGAGUUUUUAGAAAAUCCUAGCCGUUAUCUCUCUUCUCUUCUCUCUUCCAUCUUCUAGCAAGAAAGACGUCCUUUUGCAAGGGAGCUAGCACCCCGAUGAGGACAUUGAUCAAAUCAAGAACAUCGUGUGGAUACCUAUAGAGGCCGGACGCAUGUGCAACUUCAAGAGAACUGAAUUCCACGAUCAUCAAAUUGAGGGAAAGAUCUAUCGGCGAAAAAGUUAAAGAUUCAAUCUUGUUUUUCUUCUUUAAUAUUAAAACAUGAGGGAUCUUAAUUGUGUGGUUUUUGAGAUUGAAUCUCGAGAGUUUUCAAAAAUCAAAUUUGUUUGAUUUCUUUUUCCGCUGCGUUUUUACCGUACGCAAUUUUCUAACAAUUCGGACUUUCGAAUCGACGAUCGGCUUCGUUAGAGUUGAUCUAGAGUAUUUGAAGUACCUAGAAAAUAAAUUUUGUGAUUUUUCGAUAUCAUUUCACUAUUAUACUGUAAUUUUAAUGGCCAUGGCAGCCGUUUGCAAGUUUUAAGGUGUAAAAAUUCUAAAUAGAUAAUGAAAUUUUCGAUAGCAAAAUUCUUUAUACCAUUAAAAUAAGAUCAAAAACUUCGACUAAAAUAUUUAUGUCACUAUAUCAUAUUUGUGUAAGAUUUUUUUUUUUCCAGCCGUUGAUUUGAGCACUUUCGAUCACUAGGAGGCAAAUGUUAAUCGAAAAUUGCAAAUUUAUUUUCUAGAUACUUCAAAUACUCUAGAUCAAGUCUACAUCGGAGCCAAUCGUCGAUUGAAAGCGACAUGCGAAAUAAUUUGAACACCGAAGUGACUCCGCUGUUCAAAAGCAUACCAGACCACUAUAUAUAUAUAUAGAUACUAUAUAAUAUAUAUAUUUAUGAGAAGAGAGAGAGAAGAGGAGGAGCCACCUGGCGAGAAGAUAGAAAGAGAGAGAGGACUACUAUGCUUAUCGAAGCGCACGGAGCCUCCGUGCUCAGAUCGUUUGUCGAUGUUGCGGGACUUUCGAAACGUCGAUCGGCUCGCGUUAAAACUGUGAUCUAGCAGUUUCUGGAGAGUACCUAGAAAAAUAAAUUUUAUUAUUUUUCGAUAUUCUCUUCUAGUGAUCGAAUGGCUCAAAUCAACAAAUUUCAAUGGGCAUAAGUGAGCCGUUUGCGAAGGUUUAACGGUAUAAGAAUAUCCAAUCAAGUAAAAUUUGAUAGAAAAUUUUUCUAUACUAUAUAAACAAAGAUUAAUAUCUUUGAUUUAUAAUUAAUACUUUAUUAUAUUUUGUAGAUUUUUAUUUUACGCCGUUGAUUUGACGCCCCUUCCGUUCACUAGCGAAAUUGAUAAUCGUAAAAUCAUUAAAAAAUAUUUUUAGAUACUUCAAUACGUCUAGUCAUUUAACGAGCGAUUGACCGAAUUCGAAAGUCGCAACAUCGAAAACGAGCUGGAACAGAAAGCUCUGUGCUUCCGUUGCAUAGUAGCCUCCAGCUAUAUACUUAUAUAUUAUAUAUAUAUAUAUAUAUAUAUAUAUAUAUAUAUAUAUAUAUAUAUAUAUAUAUAUAUAGUAAAAGUUUGUUCAUUAUCAAGUUAAAUGCCCUUGUAAAUCAGCAGAAAUACUCGAAAUGUCAUCAAAGUAUUAGGUUUUCUUUUUUAAGAAUUCACAGCUACGUACAUAGUUCUAUAUCUGAUAAUUAAUAAUUAAUAAGAGAAUAAAAGAUUAAUAUGCGGUAAUGAAUUUAAACCUAAAUGGCAAAAUAUGAUGGAAUAAGUUAGCUAACUGUACAUGUCACAUUUAUGGGGUCUAUAUGGACUCGGGCGAGGCUAAAACCAACAAUAGCAAAUGGUGUCAAGUCAAAGCCAAUGGUUUGACCGGGUUAGGUCGUCUAUAUAGUGAGAUUUGAUUGAUAAUUAAUGCGAUAUGACAGUUUGACUUGAUGUAAUACUAAUGUCACAUCUGGGGGCCGUCAAUAUAGUUUUUUUUUUUUUUUUCUGAAAAAUAGAUAGCACACUUUCCGCUUCGUUUAUUUCAUUUAAAAAUAAAUUUAGCUGGAAAUGUAAAUCAACUAGAAUUCAAAUUUGGGUCUCGAGUAUCAAUUAUUAAGUUCUUUGCUAUUUGUUCUAGGGACUGUCGGUAUCAAAAUAGUAUAUUUGAAAAUAUUUUUAUUUUAAAAUUAGAGUUUGUAGAAGAUCAAAUUAAAAUUGCUCAAAAUUUUUCCAGGCGCCAGCAAAUUAACGACCCUAUGGACAACAUCUUCCUUAAUUAUUCGUGUGUAGCGUUAGGAGACAAAACAAUACAUCCUAUGCAAUAUGAUCACGACAAUAUCAGAUACCACAACUAAUAAGAACAUAGUAAUAUCAAAUAACGAGAACCACAACGAGCCAAUUAGCAACAAGUCCACAACAUAAUCAACUGACUAGCUACCAAAACUACACAAAUCUCCAAAUGCAAAAUAGUAGCGGAUAAUCUCAUAGGCCACUUGUGAUACCAAUAAAGUGGAAUAAUAAUAAGUAAUCUGAGUUUCGUUCAUCUAGCUAUCAGUUCAACUGUGCAAGAUCUGUACUGGUUUUUUAGACGGCUCUAAUUAGACUCGAGCCUCACGAAGCGCCUUGAACUCCACCACCCGUGUCACUUGUAAAACAAGAGGUGAGAAAUAAAUGGAAUGUUUAUCGGUGAUCACAACAAGUCGUUGGAGGCAAAUCACACCUACUGAUAAACAAAGAGAAAAUUAGGUCAUUAGAAUAAUAGGCGAUACAUUUUCAGCUAAGAUUAUUUUUAAUAAAAUAAAAUAAAACGAAUAAUACGUUACUUUUCUUUCAAGAUAAUAAUAAUAAUAAUAAUAGGAGACAAUAGCAUAAUCAAAACUAGGUAAUAUAAUGACGAUGAAAUAAUGCAAACUGAGGAAUGGUACUAUAAAUAGAAAUCCAAUCAUCAGUAAGUCUCUCAAACAUAUGCAACAUGCAUCAAUCUGACAAGCAAUCUGACAACUAGAACCCCAUCCAUGUCUUCUCACUACAACAAAAACGGUCUAUAGCGACACGUUUAAAUAUCGGUAUAAGUCAAAAAAAAAUGCUGCUGGCUAAAUUACCGACACUUUUAAAAAAUAUUGCUAUAUGUGGGGUCGCUAGGUAUAUAGUGACAGUUAAAGAGUGUUGCUAUAAUCUAAAAAAGUGCUACUAAUUUACCAAUAUUUAUUUAAAUAUCUAGCAACUACCGGAACUCUACCUCGUUGGCUGCGGUGGCGGAGGAGGACGAGAGGAGGGAUCUUCGUCUAGAAUUUCAGUCGAUUAAGUGAGAGGAGAAGGAAAAAUGGUAAUCGAUUUUUCUUUGUUUUUUCUUUUAUUUUUUUCUGUUUGUAAUCGGGCCGAAUGGGCUAGAUGUGGUGGGUUGAGUAGAGUACCCUUUUAUUUUUGGUUGGAUUAGACUUUAUAUUUAGGUAUUAGUAUAUUUUUUUUAAGUUUUGACAUAAAUAUGGCACUUACAUAAAAAUGUCUCAAACAUGUGUCCCUAUAACCUAAUUCUGUUGCAGUGUCUUGGUCCCGUAGACCUCAUGCUCAUGGCAUGACAAACCGUCCGUCAAAACUAACAUGCAACAUGUAUCACCACAAGUACAUCAAAAAUCUCGUGGAUCGACUCUCAACCACUUUUUCGGAAAAGAUUGCAUUCAGUCACGCAACCAGCGUGCCGAUGUUCGUGAAUAUGUAGCGUGCUGCGUCGAUCAUAAUGCGAUAUGCUUAACCGCUGUAUUAAUCCGAUAACCAAUGUUUGAAAAAUCAAUUCAAACAGCGACUUCGAAAAGUUACCGGAUCAAAGGUCGUUGAUUCAACCAACGGGUGAACCAUUAAUUGAAUCAGUGACAUCAGCAUGGCAUCAUAAAUAUUUAAUUAUUAUUUUUAAUUUUAGUAUAUGAAAUGUACAUAUAUUAUUAUUCCAGGAUCAUACUUAGUUAUAAAAUAUUAAUUUUUAAACUAAAUUAAGUUGAUAUAGGUUUUCAACUUUCACUUUUUAUAAGACAAAUCUAUGCUAAAAGAAAAUACAAUCAACUAAGUUGAUUCUAAGCCAUUGAACUUUAAUAUGACUCGAUAAAAAAAAACCUACCGAUUUGAUUAAAAUCAAACCAGUUCAUCAGUUCAAUGGUUGAGCUAUCGGUUUGAAUGGUUUAAAGCAAUUAUUUAACUAAUCUGAUUCAAAAGGUUGAAAAGAACCGCUUCAUAGACUAGGUCACGGUCAGACAAGUCAAACCAGCUGAUUCAACCAUAGGUGAUGAAGCAGGUACAGUUUGUACUAAUCAACAUGUAUGAUACAUAGUAUUAGAAAUAAUCAGGUACAUAUAGGUAGAGUUUGGUUCGGAAACAAGAGGGGGAAUAAGUUUUUGUUCCCCCAUGUGUUUCCAAACGCAGCAUUUGGUAUCCGAGAACAAUAGUUCUCGGGUUUUUAGAAUAAGCCAGUAUAAGGCUGGAACUGUCGUUCAACUUUUUUUCUAGAACAAGCUUGUUCCCAAUUAAUUAAUUAAAGUCCAAAAAUAAUUUUAAUUAUGGUAUUAAUUAAUUAAUUAAUUAAUAUAUUUAAAUUAUUUUUAAAUAAUUAAAUAAUAAAAUAAUUUAUUAAUUUAUUAUUUAUAAUUAUUAAUAUUAUUAUUUUUAAUUAUUAAUAAUUAUUUAAUUUAUUAAUUUAUAAUUAACUAAUUUGUCAUUAAUUUAUUCUUACUUAUUUACUUUAUUAUUAAUUAAUUAUUUAAUUUACUAUUACUUAAUUAUAAUUAUUUAAUUUAUUUAAUUAUUAUUAUUUAAAAUUAUUUAAUUAAUUAAUUUAACAUUAAUUAAAUAAUUUUUAAUUUAUAAUUAUUAAUAAUUUAUUAUUUAUAAUUAUUAAUAAUUUAUGAUUAUUAAUUAUUUAAUUUAUUAUUAAUUAAUGUAUUAGUAUCUAUAAUUAUUAAUACUUUUUUAUUUAUAAUUAUUAUUAAUUUAUUAUUCAUACUAUAUUAUCUAAUUAAUUUAUUAUUAAGAAUAUAUAAUUAAUAAUAUAUUAUUUAUAAUUAUUAAUAAUUUAUUAUUUAUAAUUAUUAAAUUUAUUGUUUUUAAACAAUAUUUUGAUGUUAAUUAAUUAGAUAAUAUAAUUUUAAUUUAAAAUUAUAACUAUUAUUUUCUUUUUUCCAAUCUAACCAUUCAAACACUAUUUAUCUUAUUUCUAGAAACAAUCCAAUUUUCAUCUAAACAUAAAAUUAGUCUAAACUUGUAUGUAUUUCUUGAAUAAACAGUUCUUAAUUAUAUCCGAACCAAACGCUGCCAUAAGAAAUAAUCUAAAAAGAUACAACUAAACCGACAUCCAGAUCGAAUUAAGCACCCACAUAUGCUCGACCAAUAUGAGUCCUCGACUCAACCUAUAGCCUCUAGGUAUCACCUAGAACUAGACAUAUCAAUGAUCUAUCACUAUGAACCCCUAUGCGUCUGUAAUGCCAAUCGGCAUGUUGAACUUGCACUACAGCUACCUUUCAACUUGGCAGUGAUAAGUCCCCCGGGCCGUACGGUUUCCCACUUCUUUUCUUCCAAACCUUCUGGGAGUCAGUUAAGGAUGACAUCUUUCUGGUUUUCAUUGAACUCCAAGAAGAUAAACUCUUAACUGGACUGACCGACUAUUCCUUCAUGUGCCUCAUCCCUAAAAUAGAAGGAGCGUGUAAAGCCAAAGACUUCCGCCCCAUUAGCCUCAUCAAUGGAAUCUAAAAGAUCAUCUCCAAAGUAUUGGCCAAUAGACUCGCACUCACUCUGCCAUCCAUCAUUACCUCUUCGCAAUCAGCAUUUCUCAAGGACCGACUAUUGGCCGAUUCGUUCGUCACUGCAAGUGAAUUAAUAAACUGGUGUUCAAAAACUGAGAGAGAAUGUGCAAGCAUCAAGGUAGACUUCGAGAAAGCAUUCGACAAUGUCAGAUGGUCUUUCCUAAAAAGCAUACUGCAUUGGCUAGGUUUUACUAAUAAAUGAUGGGGUUGGAUCGAACAAUGUAUCUGCAACGCUAAAGUGGCCGUUCUAGUGAACGGCACCCCGACUAACUGGAUGAAAGCUAGGAAGGGGCUAAGACAAGGCGACCCUCUCUCUCCCUACCUUUUCUUACUGGUAGCCGACAGUCUGGCCAGGUUAUCGGAGGCUGCAAGAGGAAACAACCUAUUACGCGGUAUCGAACCAUCUGACGAUUGCCAGAUGGUGCUUAUUUAAUAUGCCGAUGAUACAAUCUUUUUCUGCGAGCCAAGAAAACGCUACAUGCAGAAGCUGCAGUUCAUUUGGAAAAUCUUCGCAUGGGCUUCGGGUCUGAAAAUCAACUUGGACAAAUCGGAAUUCUACUAUAUUGGGUCUAACCCACGCAAAGCUGAGAAACUAGCCAACAUCUUAGGCUGUAAAGUUGGAAAGCUACCUUUCCGCUACCUGGGGUUGUCGCUACACAACAAGCAACACCGCAAGGAGGACUGGGCCUUGGUUAUCAAUCGUAUAGAAGCGAGAAUAGAAGGAUGGAAAGCCAAAUUACUCUCCCUUGGGGGACGGCUUACGCUCGUCAACUCGGUUCUCUCUAACCUACCACUAUUCUACUUUUCAAUCUUCAAAGCACCACAGUGGGUAAUACAUCGAAUUGAAGCCUUAAGACGAGCAUUCUUUUGGAAAAGGUGCUCCAAAAUCGCCGGCGGUGCCUGUCUUGUCAACUGGAAAGCCACCUGUAAAAGCAAGAGAGAAGGCGGACUAGGCAUCAAAGACAUGGCAUCCAUGAAUACGGCUCUCUUGACCAAAUGGUGGUGGCGCUUCUUCAACGAACCAAACCUGCACUGGUGCAAACUGAUCAGAUCCCUCUACUACGUUAGAAGAAGCCACUACAUGAGGGUAGAGCUUUUGCCCCUUACUUGAAGUGGUGGAAAGGAGUGGUACGAUGCCGCGAAAUUUUCAUCUGCGGUGUAGGGAUGGCCAGAACAUCAGGAUGUGGUGCGAUAUCUGGUUUGGAGAAACCCCCCUUCGGACCCUCUUUCCGGAUAUUUUCAUAGCUAUCACGAAUAAGGAGGCCAGAAAAUCUCAAUAUUGGAACGCAAAUGGAUGGAGAUGGCGUUUCAUCUGCCGUGGCUUCCCGAUAGUCAAUUCUGCUGAACGAUGCACACGGCUGACAACAUUAAAAAACUUGCUUCUACACUGCUCCCCUUGCGAUAGACCAGACUCGUAUAAAUGGAGGUGGACAGCCAAUCAAACUUUCACAGUCAAAUCUCUCUACCAGUUCCUUACUUACGCGGGACAGCGAAACCCAUUGAACCGGCAUACUUGGCGUUUAAAAAUUCCGCUCAAAAUCAAAGUCUUCAUUUGGCUAUUACUUCGGAAGAGACUGCUCACUUCCGAUAGACUGCUCCAACGAGACAUGCCUGUUGACCAACAAUGUGCUUUCUGCGCUAUAUCAACGGAGAGCUGCGACCACAUUUUCAGUAACUGUGUCUACGUCCGAUACCUAUUUCUCAGUGUAGAUGGACUGGAUAUACCAAGUGAUACCCUUGGAGACGUUCGUAGUCUUUGGUCCAAUUUAGCUUCCUCUCCGGUCGAAUCGUCAAGAAUGCGAGGACUAACUCUUCUGGCUGCGAUCUGGUGGGUGGUCUGGAGGGAUAGAAACAACUCCAUUUUUCAGACAAUUCCACCUGAUGCGACUCGCUCUCUCAAACGUGUUAAACUCCUUUUGACCAGCUAGACCGUGCUGACCUGAAGCGACACUAGUCUUAUAUAUCCCUCUUUCUCUAACCUUCCACUCUCACCUCCUUUCCCUUUCUUUCCUUCUUUUUUUUGGCCUUUUGUCUGUUAUUUUCUAUAUUUUCGGAGGCCUAAGUUGCUUCCAUCUCUGUACGCUCAGUUCAUUUUACUUAAUGAAUGAAGCUGGUAGCUUGCUACCUUAUUUCUCAAAAAAAAGAAAUAUCAAUUUUGCAAAUCAAUUCCUGAAACCCUAUCAACCGAUGAACCAACACAUCGACAAUAACCUCAUUCCAUACACUAUCCUGAAACACGCCAUCUUUGAUGUAGGGUACGGACACAUAAAGUGCUCAGCUAUGCAAACUACAACCACAAAAGUAGGUAGCAAUAGGUUCUACUGGUGACGUGUGGCUUUGCAGUUAUCUAUCCUUAAACUAUUUUAACCCAAAUAUGCCUAAUGCUCUUAACCUCUUGAACUUAACCACCGUUCAAAAUGCUAAUCGAAUUAAUAGGCUUAGGACUAUUAUAUCUUAUAAAUAGGUCAAUUUCAAAUCCUGAGAUUAUGACAUUCCUUCUCCUCUUAGCUCUGACGUCCUCGUCAGGUCAAGAAUACUCACAAGUACAAAAUAAUGUGAGACUCAUCACACUAGUUUUGUCACUUAGACUCUGCCUUAACUUGUCAAUCUUACCAUGACUUAGCUGAGAUUCAUUUUAUACUUACGACUGAUGAUUGUCUCUGAUACUAAUUGUGAUGCCCUAUUUCUCAAGAGGGUUAUCCAUCCUAGAACUACUCUAGCUCUAUAAACGAGUUAAGAUAUUUAGUGCUACUAUACCUUAAAUAUAUGACUAUUCCAAAUGCUUGAGAUGUUACAUUCGUCCCUCUUUUAAGCCAUGACAUGCUCGUCAGGCUCAAAUAUACUCACAACCACUGGGAGAUGUGUUUGUUCGUUGUUGUCUCCUUUUUUUUUUCUAGUUUUGAGCCUCUAGUCUAGCUUUCAAUUAUUAUUAGUGCCAUUGCCCUCCCUAAUCUUACGCCUCUCCUAGAGUCUUUGCUAUCCACUGUUUGAAUUUUAAAUUUUUGGUGUUUUCAAAUUUGAAUCUCCAAAAUAGCCUUCAAUAUGAUCUCUAUCUCUUUGCUAAAGCUUUCAACUCAUGCCAAUGUCCCUUUCAGCGUUAUCCCACCAAGUAUCUGCGUAUUCUUUGAAUCAGUCCAUCUCUCGGCAUCCAAAUUAGAUGCCAAGACUUAGGCCCCGUUUGGAUACCUUAUAAAAUAUAGCAAAGUUAAAUUAUGUUAUACUUAGCAAAAUUAUCUUAUAAAGUGUUUGGAAGACUCAAAAAAAACCUAUUUUUUAGAGUAUAGUUAAGCUAUAGUUCGAAACUAGAGAAAAAUAAAAAUCUAUUCCAACUUAACACUAUUCCAACAUAAGAAAAAACACUCCAACAUUGUUGGGUGGUCCCCGCGUCAAAUUUCAAAAUUUUAAAUCUUAUAAUUUUUAAUUUUAAAUUUCAAAUUGUAAAUUUUAAAUUUUUUAAUUUAGGCAUCAAUUUUAAAUUUAAAAUUUAGAUGUCAAAUUUUAAAUUUUUGUUUCAAAAUUUUAAAUUGAAACAUUUAUAAUUUUAGAUUCUAAUUUUAAAUUUUAAAUUUUAGAUUUUGAAUUUCUAAUUUUAGAUUCUGAAAUCUAUAUUUAGAUUUUAUUUUCAAAAUUUAAAAUUUUAAUUUUGAAUUGUCGAUUUUUAAAGUUUUAAUUUUAAUUUUUUAAACUUUAAUUUUAAUUUUAAAUUUUAAAUUUUAAAAUUUUAACUUUUAAUGAUUAGGAAAUCUAUGAAAUUGUAUAUUGCGUAUUCAAGCCGUUUAAAAAUAAAGUCAUGAAAUUUUUGAGAAUUAUAAGAAUUUCUAUUUCAUUGAGACUACAACCACAAAAUAUAAAUUCUGUAAAUCUUUUUUACUGCGCAUCUAAACGUGGCAAUAAUAAUUUGUUGGAGGAACUGACUGUCCCUAGCACAAGUGGUAAAAAAUUUGGUGGUUGGUUAUCUGAGGUCCCAAGUUCGAAUCCUAGUUAAUUCAUAUUUCUACCUAAGUUUAUUUCAAAAAUAAAAUAAACGAAGUUGGUAGUAUGCUACCUCUUUCUCAAAAAAAAAAAAAAAAAAUUGGUGGAGGAUAGUAUCAUUUACAUAUUCCACAAUUAGCUUUAAUAAAUUGGAGUAAUAUGUCCUGUUAUAUAUCGUCAUUCGUGCAUUUAUUCGGGUUAGAACUUUUACUAAAAUAAAAACGACGCCAAAAAAAAAAAGUACAAAAUAAAAAGAGCAAGGUUGGCCCUUCUUUAUUUUUAUAUAAGGGCAGUACGUAACAAGAUGCUACGAGAAAUAUAUUUCAAUAAACUUUGCUAUUACCGUAUUAAAGGGCCUUUUGACUAGAUAUAUAUAUAUUAUUAUAAAAAUAAUAUAGUUAGAAAUAUAUAUAGUUAAAUGCAUACCUCAUCUCCAACAAAUUUUUUAUUAAAAGAUAACGUGGAUAUGUAUAUUCUAUACAUCACACCCAAAAUUUAAUAAUUAACAUUUUAAAAUGAAAAGUUAAUUUGAUUGGUGUGAUGGAAAUUUAUAAUUUGUGGGCGACACUAAAUCACAUAUUUAAUAAAUGCACAUGUGGGAGAUCAAACCUUUGACUUUUUUUUUUUAUUGGUCGUGUGAAAUAAGAAACAAAAAUGAUACGCAAAUAGUGGUAUGAUAAUGCAUUCCCUUCACUGGACAUGUUCAAAAUGAGAUUGAGAACAAGUCAAUCCUGCAUUGCCGUAUCAACUGAGGAAGGUGACCAAUAACAAUGUGUUGGAGGCUCGAACCAAUUCCCCAAUAAGUUGACCGCGUCAAACUGCUGAUCGAGUCAAAAACACCUUUGAUUUGUGCUUUGGCUCCUUAAAUGACCCUCGAUUGCGCCAAGAUCAAGCGACUAGGUUGAGUAGAGAUUAGCUCAACCGGAUUCUCUCUCAAUACGUAAAAUGAAUCGAAUUCUGAAACUUAAGAACUGGUUCGGCUGAAGCUAAAGUCGAACUAAUUAAGUUUCAUUAAUAAAGAAAAAUUACAGGAAUUGUAGAGCACUAGGGGGCUCGGAUUACAGAAGCAUUAAGAAUUAGAACUCUAAAACUAAAAGCUACUCAUAGAAAAACAGUAAAUGCUGAAAAUGAAAUGAUAUGUAAAAAUACUGGUCUUGUGUCUAGACAAAGACCUUUUCACUAUUUAUGUAAUCUAGUCAUCAUUUCGCCUGAGGUUAUUGAACGGUUCGUGUCGUGGGGAGUGCUCUGGCCACUUUCUUGCUCGUUGCCAAAUUGCUCUCCACUUUUUUUAACCGUUCUUAUCGAAAACUCAUUCGUCUUUGGACGUUUUUUCUUUCGGCUCCUAGUGCAUUAUGUGUCAUUUUUCUAUUUAUUCAGGUGAGUAGAGUCGUCUAUCAGCUUGCCCUAUUCUUUUUGCGCCAACGUAAAGAGAAUUAUAGUUAUUUGAAAUUAAGGUUAUUACAAAAAAAAAAAAGAAAGAAAAGAAAUGAAAAAAACAGUAAAGUGGAUUGAUGGGUUUGGUGGUUGAUUUGAUGGCUAAAAACAAUUAGUAAAUGAAGUCAUUCUCAUUAUAAUAGUCUGGUAACGCGGCAUCCCUCAAACUAUAUAUAAGGCAAUUUAAUUUAUUUAUUAGAAAGCUAAGUAACAUUAAAUUUACUUUCAAAGAGCAGAAAUUAAAAUUAAUAAGUAACGAAAAUAUAAUUUUCCUAGUUUAUUUGUUUUACAUACGACUAAACAAGUAGAAAACGAUCCUUUUAGCAUGAUUUAAAUAAGAAUGUAAUUUGAUUUUACUCUGUAAGCAUCAAAACAGAGGCCGUCAAAUUUGGUAGGUGCCACUUCCUUUCUCCAGAAUCUAACAGGGGACAAAACACCGCUUAUGUGAGAAAUAUUGCAUCAGUGUGACCUGCGAACAUCUUAAAAAAAAUAAAUAAAAUUAUAUGGAUUCUAAUUUGAACUGUAUGUGAAGUAGAUAUGCACAGAUAGAUCCUAUUUGGAUGCGUGGAUAUUCAUUUGGUAUAUCUGUUUGAUAUACUCUAAAAAUAUGUAGGAUUUGGUAGAUAAUGAGUUUGAUCGCUUAUCUAGAAGUAAUACUAUA
rnacentral:lncRNA from 1 species